rnacentral:lncRNA from 1 species
UUUUUGACAGAUUCUUUUUUCGUGUGUUGUUUGCUUAUUUUGAUGACUCUAUGGCUAGUAAAAUAGUUUAUAAACCAUAGAGAAGUUGGAAUACAGUAGGUUUAACACCAAUAUAAAUAAAUAAUGAGUUCAUUACAGUACCUUGAAGUGGUGUUUUGUUUUCUUUCGCUAACGGGGCUCACGAGAUUUUCUGUUAAGUUUUGUGUUGUGAAGUUUUCAAGCUUUGGGUAAAGAUUCGAUGGACUAUGGAAUAAGGAGUGGCAAGAGCCUAAUAUUGGGGAUGCCCAAGGCACCCCAAGGUAAUAUUCAAGGACAACCAAGAGCCUAAGCUUGGGGAUGCCCCGGAUGGCAUCCCCUCUUUCGUCUUCGUUCAUCGGUAACUUUACUUGGAGCUAUAUUUUUAUUCACCACAUGAUAUGUGUUUUGCUUGGAGCGUCAUUUUAUUUUCUUUAGCUUUGCUUGCUGUUUGAAUAAAAUACCAAGAUCUAAAAUUCUUAAAUGAGAGAGAGUCUUCACAUAGCUACAUAAUUAUUUUAACUACUCAUUGAUCUUCACUUAUAUCUUUUUGGAGUAGUUUGUCAUUUACUCGUGUGCUUCACUUAUAUCCUAUGAGUAAAUGGUUGAAUGAUUCGAAUGUCAUAAGUCUGAAAUUAUAUAUGUUUCAUAUGCUUAUCCCAUGGGGAGUAAUGACUUCACAUAUAAGAAGUAGAGGUGGUAAAUUUAUUGAAGGUUAGCAAACAUUGUAUUGGUCACUUAAACAAUUCAUGAAAGAAUAUUGAAGGAAGAGAGAUUUCACAUAUAAAUAUACUAUCUUGGACAUCUUCUCUGAUUGUGAGCCCCAUUAAUUAUUUUCAAACCUGAGAAAAUUAGUUGAAGUUGGACAAGGAAUACAACAUAAUGAGUUAUGCUUGGGUAUAUUUGUAUAGAAGUUAUAUUGUUAUGGAUCCUCUAACAUGUGGUGCUUGCUAUUUAGAAUCCUUUGCUAGCCAAAAUAUCUGUACUAAGCGGGAAUACUGCUUGUGCAUCCAAAUUCCUUGAACCAAGUUUCUUCCAUGAGUGUCCACCAUAUCUACUUAUAUGCGGUAUUUACCUGUCGUUCCAAGUAAAUUUGCAUGUGCCAAACUCUAAACCUUCAAAUAAUAAUCUGUUUUGUAUGCCUAAAUCACUCAUGUAGCGACUAGGGGCUGUCAGUAUCUUCCAUGCAAGGUGGGUUAUUCUCAUGAUGAGUGGACUCCGCUCAUCAUUCACGAGAAAAUGGCUGGUAACUGGGAUGCCCAGUCCUAUGAUAAAAAGAUCACAAAGAAAUUUGCAAAUAAUUUAAACAAAACUCCCCCAGGAAUAUUGAUAGUUGGACGGCACCCGUUGUUUCGGACAAGCCGUGGAGUGUGAAUGUUGGUGGAGGGGGAGUAAAAACUUUACCUUUCUGCGUGGGAACCGCCUAUAAUGUAUGUAGUAUGAAAGAUAUUGGGAACUCUUGGUCAUUAUGUUGACAAUGAAAGCAUACCUCUCAAAAUUAUUUUCAUCUCUUUUUUUGCUUCGAGCUCUAGCACCUCUGCAAAUCCCUGCUUCCCUCUGCGAAGGGCCUAUCUUUUACUUUUAUGCAAGAGUCAGUAGUAUUCCUUCUCAUUCCAACCUACUCUUUAGUUGGCAAGCAUCAUGUGAUGGAAAGAUCUAAGCAUAUAUGGCCAUUCAAAUAUAUUUGAGCAUGAAUUAUUACUGUUGACAUUACCCUUGAGGUAAAAGGUUGGGAGGCGAAACAUUAAGCCCCUAUCUUUCUCUGUGUUCGAUGAAUACUAUUUGUUCUAAAAAUAUGCUUUGAGUGGUAGCAAUCAUGGAAGACUAAAUGAUAGUUGAGUAUGUGAAGUUUGCUGAAUCAAAGCUCUGACAUAGACUCUUCCUAAAAAUAAGAUGAAUUGUAAUUGUUUGAUGACUAAUAACACGGUUUGUUAGUUUUCAAGAAAGUUUAUGAUCUAUACUUUAACAUGUGAAUAGUUUGUUACUUGAUCAUGCAAAGUUUUAUAAUAUGAGCUACUGUUAUGACAUAUAAUGAUGCUAGAAAAGGUGAUUGAAAUUAUCAUUGAUCAAACUUGUGCACCUGCUAGCAUUCACACUUCAUAAAUUCUUUCUUUUAUCAUUUACCUACUCGAGGACGAGCAGGAAUUAAGCUUGGGGAUGCUGAUACGUCUCCAACGUAUCUAUAAUUUAUGAAGUAUUCAUGCUAUUAUAUUAUCCAUCUUGGAUGUUUAAUGGGCUUUACUAUACACUUUUAUAUUAUUUUUGGGACUAACCUAUUAACCCAGAGCCCAGUGCUAGUUUCUGUUUUUUUCCUUUGUUUCAGUGUUUCGCAGAAAAGGAAUAUCAAACGGAGUCCAAACGGAAUGAAACCUUCGGGAGAGUUAUUUUUGGAACGGAAGCAAUCCAGAAGACUUGAAGUGUACGUAAGGGAAGCAACGAGGAGGGCACGAGGCAGGGGGCGUGCCCUCCACCCUCGUGGGCCCCUUGUGGCUCCCCUGACCGACUUCUUUCGCCUAUAUAUAUCCAUAUACCCUAAAACCAUCAGGGAAUAGAAUAGAUCGGGAGUUCCGCCGCCGCAAGCCUCUGUAGUCACCAAAAACCAAUCGGGACCCUGUUCCGGCACCCUGCCGGAGGGGGAAUCCCUCACCGGUGGCCAUCUUCAUCAUCCCGGCGCUCUCCAUGACGAGGAGCGAGUAGUUCACCCUCGGGGCUGAGGGUAUGUACCAAUAGCUAUGUGUUUGAUCUCUCUCUCUCUCUCUCAUGUUCUUGAUUCAGCACGAUCUUGAUGUAUCGCGAGCUUUGCUAUUAUAGUUGGAUCUUAUGAUGUUUCUCCCCCUCUACUCUCUUGUAAUGGAUUGAGUUUUCCCUUUGAAGUUAUCUUAUCGGAUUGAGUCUUUAAGGAUUUGAGAACACUUGAUGUAUGUCUUGCAUGUGCUUAUCUGUGGUGAUAAUGGGAUAUUCACAUGAUCUACUUGAUGUAUGCUUUGGUGAUCAACUUGCGGGUUCCGUAACAUUGUGAACUUACGCAUAGGGGUUGGCACACGUUUUCGUCUUGACUCUCUGGUAGAAACUUUGGGGCACUGAUGACCCACAAGUAUAGGGGAUCUAUUGUAGUCCUUUCGAUAAGUAAGAGUGUCCAACCCAACGAGGAGCAGAAGGAAAUGAUAAGCGGUUUUCAGCAAGGUAUUCUCUGCAAGCACUGAAAUAGUAGGUAACAGAUAGUUUUGUGAUAGGAUAAUUUGUAACGAGCAACAAGUAACAAAAGUAAAUAAAGUGCAGCAAGGUGGCCCAAUCCUUUUUGUAGCAAAGGACAAGCCUGGAAAAACUCUUAUAUAGAGAAAAGCGCUCCCGAGGACACAUGGGAAUUAUCGUCAAGCUAGUUUUCAUCACGUUCAUAUGAUUCGCGUUCGGUACUUUGAUAAUUUGAUAUGUAGGUGGACCGGUGCUUGGGUGUUGUCCUUACUUGGACAAGCAUCCCACUUAUGAUUAACCUCUAUUGCAAGCAUCCGCAACUACAACAAAAGUAUUAAGGUAAACCUAACCAUAGCAUGAAACAUAUGGAUCCAAAUCAGCCCCUUACGAAGCAACGCAUUAAGCUUCUGUCACUCUAGCAACCCAUCAUCUACUUAUUACUUCCAAAUGCCUUCCUCUAGGCCCAAAUAAUGGUGAAGUGUCAUGUAGUCGACGUUCACAUAACACCACUAGAGGAUAGACAACAUACAUCUCAUCAAAAUAUCGAACGAAUACCAAAUUCACAUGACUACUAAUAGCAAGACUUCUCCCAUGUCCUCAGGAACAAACGUAACUACUCACAAAGCAUAUUCAUGUCCAUAAUCGGAGGAGUAUUAAUAUGCAUAUAGGAUCUGAACAUAUGAUCUUCCACCAAAUAAACCAACUAGCAUCAACUACAAGGAGUAAUCAACACUACUAGCAACCCACAGGUACCAAUCCCGGACCUGGAGACAAGAAUUGGAUAUAAGAGAUGAACUAGGGUUUGAGAGGAGAUGGUGCUGGUGAAGAUGUUGAUGGAGAUUGCCCUCUCCCGAUGAGAGGAGCGUUGGUGAUGACAAUGGCGAUGAUUUCCCCCUCCCGGAGGGAAGUGUCCCCGGCAGAACAGCUCUGCCGGAGCCCUAGAUUGGUUCCGCCAAGGUUCCGCCUCGUGGCGGCGGAGUCUCGUCCUGAAAGCUUUCUUAUUAUUUUUCUUCGGAUGAAAGACUUCAUAUAGCAGAAGAUGGCCACCGGAGGACCAACAGGGGGCCCACGAGGCAGGGGGCGUGCCCAGGGGGGUAGGGCGCGCCCCCCACCCUCGUGGACAGGUGGUGGCCCCCCUGAUGUAUUUCUUCCGCUCAAUAUUUUUUAUUAUUUCCAAAAAUAACUUUCGUGGAGUUUCAGGAUUUUUGGAGUUGUGCAGAAUAGGUCUCUAAUAUUUGCUCCUUUUCCAGCCCAGAAUUCUAGCUGCCGGCAUUCUCCCUCCUUAUGUAAACCUUGUAAAAUAAGAGAGAAUAGGCAUAAGUAUUAUGACAUAAUGUGCAAUAACAACCCAUAAUGCGAUAAAUAUCGAUAUAAAAGCAUGAUGCAAAAUGGACGUAUCAACUCCCCCAAGCUUAGACCUCGCUUGUCCUCAAGCGAAAGCCGAUAACGAUAAAUAUGUCCACAUGUUUAGAGGUAGAGGUGUCAAUAAAAUAAAAUACGGACAUGAGGGCAUCAUGAUUAUUCUCAUAACAGCAACAUAUAUGAAUAUUGUCAUAUGAUUUCUUAUGCUCAAGUAAUAAUCUAUUCACAAUGCAAAGUAUGAAUCAGAAACUUUAUUGAGAACUAACAAACUAUAAUCUCAGUCAUUGAAGCAAUUGCAAUUUAUCAUAACAUCAGAAAGAGUCUAUGUCAGAGAUUUCUAGCAAGUCCACAUACUCAACUAUCAUUUAGUCUUUCAUAAUUGCUAACACUCACUCAAUACUUGUGGUUACGGAGUUUUAACCGGACACAGAGAAAGAUAGGGGCUUAUAGUUUGGCCUCCCAACCUUUUACCUCAAGGGUAAUGUCAACAAUAAUAACUCAUGCUAACUUACAUCCAAUUAGAUAUAAAUAUCAGGAUCUUUCCAACAUCUUGUGCUUGCCAAAGGAUAAAAUGUAAAAAGGAAGGGUGAAGAUCACCAUGACUCUUGCAUAAGGUAGAAGAUAAUAAUAAAAGAUAGGCCCUUCGUAGAGGGAAGCAGAGGUUGCCAUGCGCUUUCAGGGUUGGAUGCACAAAAUCUUAAUGCGAAAGAACGUCACUUUAUAUUGCCAAUUGUGAUAUGAACCUUUAUUAUGCAGUCCGUCACUUUUAUUUCUUCCACAUCACAAGAUCGUAUAAAGCUUAUUUCCUCCACACCAAUCAAUCAUACAUAUUUAGAGAGCAAUUUUUAUUGCUUGCACCGAUGACAACUUACUUGAAGGAUCUUACUCAAUCCAUAGGUAGAUAUGGUGGAAUCUCAUGGCAAAACUGGUUUAAGGGUUUUUGGAAGCACAAGUAGUAUCUCUACUUGGUGCAAAGAAUUUGGCUAGCAUGAGGGGAAAGGCAAGCUCAACAUGUUGGAUGAUCCAUGACAAUAUACUUUAUCUCAGAUAUAAGAAAACAUAACCCAUUACGUUGUCUUCCUUGUCCAACAUCAACUCUUUAGCAUGUCAUAUUUUAAUGAGUGCUCCCAAUCAUAAAAGAUGUCCAAGAUAGUAUAUUUAUAUGUGAAACCUCUCUUUCUUUAUUACUUCCUAUUAAUUGCAAUGAUGACCAAAGCUAUGUUUGACAACUCCCAACAAAUUUUAAUCAUCAUACUCUUUCUAUGUGAAGUCAUUACUAUCCAUAAGAUCGAUAUGAUCUCUUUGUAUUUCUUUUUAUUCUUUUCUCUUCUCUUUCUUUUAUUCACUCAAGAUCAUGGCAAAAUAAUCAAGCCCUUGACUCAACACUAAUCUUUAUUAUAUAGCUCACGGACUCGAUUACACAGAGGGAUCAUAAAGCAAAACUCAAAGCUAGACCAUACCAAAACUUUAUUCUACUAGAUCAAGAUACUACUAAUAGGAUCGAACUAAGAAAAACGGUAAAGAAAGGAGAUGUGGUUGUGAUACGAUACCGGGGCACCUCCCCCAAGCGUGGCAGUUGCUAAGGGGAGUGCCCAUACCCAUGUGAUUAUAUCUCCUUUGCUGGUGAAGAAGGUGGAGAUGAUGAUGGUUUAGUUGAUGGCAUAGGCUUCUCCCUUAAUUUGCGCUUGAGGAUAGAAUUUUGAUCCCUCAGGUCAUCAAUCUCCUGCUCCAGGAUUAAUAUCUUUUUGCAUAGUUCCUGCUUGUUUUCCUGCAAGAGACGAAAAGGGAUAAACUCGAUCUUAAGUUUCUUUGCCCUAUCAGGGAGGCUUGACUUUUUGAACUCCACAUGCAUGUCCCCAGGUUGAGGUAAUGGGACUUCAUCUUCAUCUGAGCUCGUCUCCUCCUUUCUCUUGGGUUCAUAGUCCUCUUCUUCCACCGUAGUCCAACCACAAUGCUCCACAUCUCCAUAGACCUUAGGAUCUGCAAGGUAAUCAGCCACAUAGCUUUCUCCUUCCGAAUCCUGGGACGACAUGUUGCUCUAAUCUGCAGCAGGGCAGCUCGAAACAAGAACAGAGGAUAUUUGCGUGAUACAUGAGUCAAAACCUUCGGGAGAUUAUAUAAUGAAUUUGUACCAACCAAAAUACGUAGCGUGCAAGAAAACAGAGAAAUAUUGCCAUAAAAAUUGUUUUGGAGUCGGUUUACUUACCGUACCACAUACCUAUUCCUUUUCGGAGUCUGAAACGUUCCAGAAAGUGUCCCUUAUGUAUUCCUCCAGGGUUACGGUUUCAAUAACAUUGGUUUCAACAUUUAUGGGAUUACCUGAGAUAUAAUGUUUGAUUCUUUGACCGUUCACCACCUUAGGAUUUGUGCUUUCGAAGUUGUUGAUUUUUAUGGCACCGGAACGAUAGACCUCCUCGGUAAUGUAAGGGCCUUCCCAUUUAGAGAAAAGUUUUCCUACAAAAAAUCUUAAACGAGAGUUGUAUAGCAAUACAUAAUCACCUACAUUAAACUCACGCUUUUGUAUUCUUUUGUCAUGCCAUCUUUUAACUUUUUCUUUAAACAACUUGGCAUUUUCAUAGGCUUGGGUUCUCCAUUCAUCAAGUGAGCUAAUAUCAAAUAACCUCUUCUCACCGGCAAGUUUGAAAUAGCUCUUUAAUAGCCCAAUAUGCCUUAUGUUCUAGUUCGAGAGGUAAGUGACAUGCUUUUCCAUAAACCAUUUUAUACGGAGACAUACCCAUAGGAUUUUUAUAUGCAGUUCUAUAGGCCCAUAAUGCAUCAUCAAGUUUCUUGGACCAAUUCUUUCUAGAUCUAUUAACAGUCUUUUGCAAAAUUAAUUUGAGCUCUCUAUUACUCAAUUCUACUUGACCACUAGACUGUGGAUUAUAAGGAGAUGCAAUUCUAUGAUUGACAUCAUACUUAGCAAGCAUUUUACGGAAAGCACCAUGAAUAAAAUGUGAACCACCAUCAGUCAUUAAAUAUCUAGGGACUCCAAACCUCGGAAAAAUAACUUCUUUAAGCAUUUUAAUAGAAGUGUUAUGAUCAGCACUACUAGUUGGAAUAGCUUCUACCCACUUAGUAAUGUAAUCAACAACAACUAAAAUAUGUGUGUAACCAUUAGAGGCAGGAAAAGGUCCCAUAUAAUCAAAGCCCCAAACAUUAAAUGGUUCAAUAACAAGUGAAUAGUUCAUAGGCAUUUCUUGACGUCUACUAAUAUUACCAAUUCUUUGACAUUCAUCACAGGAUAAGACAAACUUACGGGCAUCCUUGAAGAGAGUAGGCCAAUAAAAACCGGAUUGCAAUACCUUAUGUGCAGUUCUAUCUCCAGCGUGGUGUCCUCCAUAAGCUUCGGAGUGACACUUGCGUAGGAUCUGUUCCUGUUCAUGCUCAGGUACACAACGUCUAAUAACACCAUCUACUCCUUCUUUAUAAAUAUGUGGGUCAUCCCAAAAGUAAUGUCUCAAAUCAUAGAAAAACUUUUUCUUUUGCUGGUAUGUGAAACUAGGUGGUAUAAAUUUAGCAACAAUGUAAUUAGCAUAAUCAGCAUACCAUGGAGCAGUACGAGAAGCAUUUAUGACAUUUAAUUGCUCAUCCGGAAAGCUAUCAUCAAUAGGUAGUGGGUCAUCAAGAACAUUUUCUAACCUAGACAAGUUGUCUGCAACGGGGUUCUCAGCUUCCUUUCUAUCAACAAUAUGCAAAUCAAAUUCUUGUAGCAAGAGAACCCAUCUAAUAAGUCUAGGUUUAGCAUCUUUCUUUUCCAUGAGAUAUUUAAUAGCAGCAUGAUUCAUGUGAAUAGUUACUUUAGAAUCAACAAUAUAAGGUCUGAACUUAUCACAAGCAAAUACGACUGCUAAGAAUUCUUUUUCAGUUGUAGCAUAAUUUCUUUGAGCAUUGUCUGGAGUUUUACUAGCAUAUUGAAUAACAGUUAAUUUCUUAUCAACUCUCUGCCCUAGACCAGCACCUACAGCAUAAUCACUAGCAUCUCACAUAAUUUCAAAGGGUAAAUUCCAAUCAGGUAGCUAAACAAUAGGUGCAGAGAUCAAUGCUUUCUUAAGUAUUUCAAAUGCUUCUACACAAUCGUCAUCAAAGACAAAUGGUAUAUCUUUUUGUAAUAAAUUAGUCAGAGGCCGAGAAAUUUUUGAGAAGUCCUUAAUGAACCUCCUAUAGAAUCCGGCAUGACCGAGGAAACUUCUUAUACCUUUGAUGUCCUUGGGACAUGGCAUCUUUUCAAUAGCAUCAACCUUGGCUUUAUCAACCUCAAUACCUCUUUCAGAAACUUUAUGCCCCAAGACAAUACCUUCAUUAACCAUUGUAGCGACCAGACCUCAAAUGGUCUGUGCUGCAGUGCACCAGUGUCAUCCCUGGAUCAGUAAUGCUGACACGCACAGUACAAAUGGAGGAUUUAUAACAGAGUAGCAACCACACACUUAUUACAUCGAAUAUCUCCGAAGAGAUUAAGUAUGAUAAACAUGGCUUAAGGCCAUCUAAAAACGAUAACAGCGGAAGACUUGGAAGAUAAGUGAGUCCAUCAACUCCAGCGGCAUCACUGAGUAUAAGACCACGACCUAAGGCACCUUACUCGUCGUCUGAAAAGUCUGCAACAUGAAACGUUGCAGCCCGAAAAUGGGUCAGCACAUAGAAUAUGCUGGCAAUGUAACACAUAGAGAAUAAUGAACAAUAAUAAUGCUAUACUACAUGCAUAUAUGGCUGGUGGAAAGCUCUAUGGUUACAAUUUUGCGAAAAAGCCAAUUUUAUCCUACUUCAAAGGAAUAAAUUUUAUUUAACUAUCAUGGUGGUUGUGAAACAUUGAGAUGGUUGACAGCAUCUCAAUCCCAAUUAAGAAUCAUCAUUAACCCAACAAAAUUAAUUAAAAGUAACAUGGUGAUGAGAUUCACAUGAUAAUCCAAGUACUAGAUACUCAAGUUGUCCAUAACCGGGGACACGGCUAACCAUGAUUAGUUUGUACACUCUGCAGAGGUUUGUGCACUUUUCCCCACAAGACUCGAUCUCCUCCGUUGGAUUACUCGCACUACAUGGUGUUUGAGUAACGGAUGACCGAGACACAGUCUUUCAGAAGUGUUUACACCUUACGUAUGGGUAGACAGUUACACCUACUUUUCCCUACAUCUGCUAGUCUACCACUGUAAGAGUUCACACAACUUAGUCAACUAUGCUAGAGCCCAUAAUAGCUUGCGGCUGCACACGGAAGUUUCUAGCAUGAAUAAUCUCAUGAUCCCUUUGAGCCUGGGUGGCGGUCCAAAAGAAAAACAGGCAAUCCUGGAAUACCCAGGUACCUCAAUCCACCCAGAUGUGAGUUUUAGUUGCCACCUUAAGUAAACCAUUAAUUAACAAUCUCACAUCUGUCAUGGAAAUCUCUCAAACCCAAUCCACGUCUACGAGCAUAGCAUGGCAAUAUAAUAGCAAACGUAGAAGUUACUCCCAAGGUUUGAUAAUAAAACAGGUAAUAGGUACUACCUCAACUACUUCCCAGUUCCCACAAGUUAAUUAGAUCCUAAUCAUGCAAUGUUUGAGGAAUAGAUCUAAUGCAAUAAAACUGGGUAUGGAAAGUAUGAUCAAAGUGUUACUUGCCUUGCUGAUGAUCCGCGAAACCUAGCGAUUCGAAGUAACAAGCGGCACACUCCGGGUACUCUAUCGCAAACAAACAAGCAAACAAUCAGCACUCAACUAAUGCACAGGUAAAACUCGAAUGAAAGAUCCAACCAGAAAGUUCAACUUAAGAACUCUGGUUUGCAAAAAGAAUCAACUCGAAAGAAGCAACGAAAGUCAAACGGCGAAAGAAACAAGCUUUGUUUACUAAUCUGGAUCUAGGUCAAAUUUUACUGUAGCAAAAACUUGUUUGAGUAGGUUAAACGGAAAGAGAAUUUCGAGACAAAACUCUAGGCGCUUGAAUCGCCUGAUUCCGAUAAACGAGCGAAAAGUUAAACAGGAACGAAGAUUCGAUCAGAAAUCGAAUCUGAGAAAAUAGCGGAAAAAUCCGACGAAAAAGAAAAACGGACGAACGGUUAAAGAACGGACGUUCGUUAACAGAGAAAAACCGACGAACACGUUCGUUAAAACGAACGAUUCGGUGAACGCCCGCAAAAUAAUAAAACCAAAAAAACCGAUCUAGGGUUUUUUUUAAACCAAAACCGGCAAAACGAGGAAAGGUCUACCUCGUCGGGACAGAGCUCCGGCGGGGCUCCCGUGCUCCGGUCGNNNNNNNNNNNNNNNNNNNNNNNNNNNNNNNNNNNNNNNNNNNNNNNNNNNNNNNNNNNNNNNNNNNNNNNNNNNNNNNNNNNNNNNNNNNNNNNNNNNNNNNNNNNNNNNNNNNNNNNNNNNNNNNNNNNNNNNNNNNNNNNNNNNNNNNNNNNNNNNNNNNNNNNNNNNNNNNNNNNNNNNNNNNNNNNNNNNNNNNNNNNNNNNNNNNNNNNNNNNNNNNNNNNNNNNNNNNNNNNNNNNNNNNNNNNNNNNNNNNNNNNNNNNNNNNNNNNNNNNNNNNNNNNNNNNNNNNNNNNNNNNNNNNNNNNNNNNNNNNNNNNNNNNNNNNNNNNNNNNNNNNNNNNNNNNNNNNNNNNNNNNNNNNNNNNNNNNNNNNNNNNNNNNNNNNNNNNNNNNNNNNNNNNNNNNNNNNNNNNNNNNNNNNNNNNNNNNNNNNNNNNNNNNNNNNNNNNNNNNNNNNNNNNNNNNNNNNNNNNNNNNNNNNNNNNNNNNNNNNNNNNNNNNNNNNNNNNNNNNNCGGGGUUCUCCCGUGUCCAAGCCGGACACGGCGGUGGCGGCGUCCUGUGCGCGGAGAGGACGACGGGGCGGGGUGGGCCGGCGCUCGGCUGGGCCUCGGCCCGGUCGGGCGGCGCGCAGGUUUUUUUUUUAAAUACGUUCCGCGGAAAAUAAUUCGUAGAAAAAUAAAUAAAAGUCCAAAAAAUAUAAAAUAAAUUUUCCCCGUCUAGUUAGAAAAUCUAGAAUAGGGUGAACGUUUUUUUAACACAAAAUAAAUAUUUUGAAAACAUGCAAUAUUUUUAAUGCAAUAAAAAUGGCAAAUAAAAUCCGAAUAAAAUCCAAUAGAUGAUUUUAACAUUUUUCCUCCAGUAUUUCAAUUGUUUUGGAGAAGUCAUAUUUUCUCCCCUCAUUUAUUUUAUUUAAUGAAAUAUUUUCCGGAGAGAAAAUAAUUAAAACCAAAAUCCUCGUUUUAUUAUUUGAUGAAAAUCAAAUAUGAGAAUUCGAGAAAAUCCCCAACUCUCUCCGAGGGUCCUUGAGUUGCUUAGGAUUUAUCGAGGAUUUGUCAAAAUGCAAUAAAAUAUGAUAUGCAAUGAUGAUCUAUGUAUAACAUACCAAAUUGAAAAUUUGGGAUGUUACAACCAUAAAGUGGCACUUUUCCCAAUUUAGGACAAGAUUAGUUUCUUCACAUCUCUGCAAAACUCAAUCAAGGUUGCUCAAGCAAUCAUCAAAAGAGGAUCCAUAGACGGAAAAAUCGUCCAUGAAAACCUCACAAAUCUUUUCACAAAAGUCAGAAAAUAUAGCAUCAUGCAUCUUUGAAAGGUAGCAGGUGCGUUACAUAAACCAAAAGGCAUACGUCUAUAAGCAAAAGUACCAAAAGCGCAAGUAAAAGUAGUCUUUGAUUGAUCAUUGGCUGACACGGGUAUUUGAGAGAAACCAGAAUAACCAUCUAGAAAGCAAAAAUGUGUAUGUUUGGAUAAUCUUUCUAGCAUUUGAUCGAUAAAAGGUAAGGGGUAAUGAUCUUUUUUAGUAGCCUUAUUUAAUUUGCGGAAAUCAAUUACCAUCCUAUAACCUGUAAUAAUUCUUUUCGGGAUCAACUCAUCUUUAUCAUUAGGAACAACAGUAAUACCUCCCUUCUUAGGGACACAAUGGACAGGACUUACCCACUGACUAUCAGCAACGGGAUAAAUUAUACCUGCCUCAAGGAGCUUUAGUAUUUCUUUUCUUACCACUUCCUUCAUCUUAGGAUUCAGCCGUCAUUGAUGAUCAUGAACUGGUUUGGCAUCUUCCUCCAAAUUUAUUUUAUGCUGACAUAGAGUGGGACUAAUGCCCUUAAGAUCAUCAAGAGUAUAUCCAAUGGCAGCACGGUGCUUCUUCAAAGUUUUCAAUAAUCUCUCUUCUUCGUGCUCUGAAAGGUUAGCACUAAUAAUUACAUGAUAUAUCUUUUUCUCAUCAAGAUAAGCAUAUUUAAGAGUAUUAGGUAACGGUUUAAGCUCAAACACGGGAUCACCCUUGGGUGGAGGAGGAUCCCCUAGGAUUUCAACAGGCAAAUUGUGUUUCAGGAUAGGUUCCUGUUUAAAGAAUACUUCAUCUAUUUCCCUUCUUUCAUUCAUAUACAUAUCAUUUUCAUGGUCUAGCAAAUAUUGUUCUAAAGGAUCACUAGGAGGCACGGCAAUAGAAGCAAGACCAAUAAUUUCAUCCUUACUAGGUAAUUCCUCUUCACGGUGUUGUCUACGAAAUUUAGAGAAAUUAAACUCAUGAGACAUAUCACCUAGACCAAUAGUAACAACAUCCUUUUCGCAGUCUAUCCUAGCAUUAACGGUGUUCAAGAAGGGUCUACCAAAUAUAAUGGGACAAAAGCUAUCCUGUGGGGAACCAAGAACAAGAAAAUCAGCAGGAUAUUUAGUUUUCCCACACAAGACUUCAACAUCUCUAACAAUUCCAAUGGGUGAUAUUGUAUCUCUAUUAGCAAGUUUGAUGGUAACAUCAAUACCUUCUAUCUCAGCAGGUGCAAUUUCAUGCAUAAUUUCUUUGUAUAAGUCAUGAGGUAUAGCACUAGCACUGGCACCCAUAUCACAUAAGCCAUGAUAACAAUGAUCUCCUAUUUUAACAUAAAUAACAGGCAUGCCUACCACAGGUCUAUGUUUAUCUUUAGCACAAGGUUUGGCAAUUCUAGGAGUUUCCUCACAGAAAUAAAUAACAUGCCCAUCAAUAUUAUCAGACAAGAGAUCUUUAACAAUAGCAACAUUAGGUUCAACUUUGAUUUGCUCAUGUAGCGACCAGACCUCAAAUGGCCUGUGCUGCUGUGCACCAGUGUCAUCCCUGGAUCAGUAAUGCUGACACGCACAGUACAAAUGGAGGAUUUAUAACAGAGUAGCAAUCACACACUUAUUACAUCGAAUAUCUCCGAAGAGAUUAAGUAUGAUAAACAUGGCUUAAGGCCAUCUAAAAACGAUAACAGCGGAAGACUUGGAAGAUAAGUGAGUCCAUCAACUCCAGCGGCAUCACUGAGUAUAAGACCACGACCUAAGGCACCUUACUCGUCGUCUGAAAAGUCUGCAACAUGAAACGUUGCAGCCCGAAAACGGGUCAGCACAUAGAAUAUGCUGGCAAAGCAACACAUAGGGAGCAAUGAGCAAUGAUAAGGCUAUACUAUAUGCAUAUAUGGCUGGUGGAAAGCUCUAUGGUUACAAUUUUUGCGAAAAGCCAAUUUUAUCCUACUACAAAGGAAUAAAUUUUAUUUAACUAUCAUGGUGGUUGAAACAUUGAGAAGGUACCUCCAACUCAAUCCCAAUUAAGUAACAUCAUUAACCCAACAAAUUAAUUAUAAGUAUCACGGUGAUGAGAUUCAAAUGAUAAUCCAGGUACUAGAUACUCAAGUUGUCCAUAACCGGGGACACGGCUAAUCAUGAUCAGUUUGUACACUCUGCAGAGGUUUGUGCACUUUUCCCCACAAGACUCGAUCGCCUCCGCUUGAUUCUCGCACUGCAUGUUGUUUGAGAAACGGAUGACCGAGACACAGUCUUUCAGAAAUAGUCACUCUCUACUCUGGAUGGACCGGUACACCUACUUUCCCCUACAUCUGCUAGUCCACCUCUUCAAGAGAUCCUGUAACCUACUCAACUAUGCUAGAGCCCAUAAUAGCUUGUGGCUGCACAUGGAAGUUUCUAGCAUGAAAAAUCUUAUGAUCCCUUUGAGCCUGGGUGGCGGACCUAAUACAUACAGACAACACUGGGUUCUCCAGGUGUCUCAAUCCCCCCAGAUGUGAGUUUUAGUUGCCACCUUAAGUUGAACCAUUAUUAAACACUCACAUCUGUCAUGAAUAUCUCUCAAACCCAAUCCACGUCUACGAGCAUAGCAUGGCACUAAUAUAAGCAACGUAGAAUUAACUCCCAAGGGUUUGAUAAAGAACAGGUAAUAGGUACUACCUCAACUACUUCCCAAUACCCACAGUUUAAUUAGAUCCUAAUCAUGCAAUGUGUUUGAGGAAAUAGAUCUAAUGCAAUAAAACUGGGUAUGAAAGGGGGUAUGAUCAAAGUGUUACUUGCCUUGCUGAUGAUCCGCAAAGCCUAGCGAGUCGAAGUAACAAGCGGCACUCUCCGGGUACUCUAUCGCAAACAAACAAACAUACAAUCAGUACUCAUCUAAUGCACAGGUAAAACUCGAAAGAAAGAUCCAACCAGAAAGUUCAACUUAAGAACUCCGGUUUGCAAAAAGAAUCAACUCGAAAGAAACAACGAAAGUCAAACGGCGAAAGAAGGAAACUUCGUUUGCUAAUCUGGAUCUAGGUCAAAUUUUACUAUAGCAAAAACUUGUUUGAGUAGGUUAAACAGAAAGAGAAUUUCGAGACGAAACUCUAGGCGCUUGAAUCACCUGAUUCCGAUAAACGAGCGAAAAGUUAAACAGGUUCGAAGUUUCGAUCAGAAAUCGAAUCUGAGAAAAUAACGAGAAAAUCCGACGAAAAAGAAAAUCGGACGAACGGUUAAAUAACGGACGUUCGUUAACAGAGAAAAACCGACGAACGUGUUCGUUAAAACGAACGGUUCGGUGAACGCUCGUAAAAUAAGAAAACUGAAGAAAAAAAGAUCUAGGGUUUUUUUAAAACAAAAGGGUUUUUUUUCAGAAAAACCGGUCAACUCGAACGGCAGUACCUCGGCGGGGCUCGCUCCGGCGAGGGCUCCGGCGGGGGGGGGUCGGCGACGNNNNNNNNNNNNNNNNNNNNNNNNNNNNNNNNNNNNNNNNNNNNNNNNNNNNNNNNNNNNNNNNNNNNNNNNNNNNNNNNNNNNNNNNNNNNNNNNNNNNNNNNNNNNNNNNNNNNNNNNNNNNNNNNNNNNNNNNNNNNNNNNNNNNNNNNNNNNNNNNNNNNNNNNNNNNNNNNNNNNNNNNNNNNNNNNNNNNNNNNNNNNNNNNNNNNNNNNNNNNNNNNNNNNNNNNNNNNNNNNNNNNNNNNNNNNNNNNNNNNNNNNNNNNNNNNNNNNNNNNNNNNNNNNNNNNNNNNNNNNNNNNNNNNNNNNNNNNNNNNNNNNNNNNNNNNNNNNNNNNNNNNNNNNNNNNNNNNNNNNNNNNNNNNNNNNNNNNNNNNNNNNNNNNNNNNNNNNNNNNNNNNNNNNNNNNNNNNNNNNNNNNNNNNNNNNNNNNNNNNNGGCGGGCGGCGGCGGGCGACUAGAUGCGGGGCGGCGGCGGCGGCUUCUCCGGCGAUGGUGGCGGCGAAAACGUAGGGGGGGUGCUAUAUAUAGGUAGGGGGGCUAGAGGGCUUGGGGGAGGGGCAAAGCCCGAGGUGGCGGCGGCUUCGUGCUCCCGGCGGACUCCGGCGGCGUGGGGAAGAAGGAGAGCGCGGCGGGCCGGCCUGGCUUCGGCUGGGCCUCGGCCUAGUCGGGCAAGCGCGUAUUUUUUUUUUAAUUGUUCCGUGGAAAAUAUUGCAUAGAAAAAUAAAUAAAAAUCGGAAAAAUACGAAAUAAAUUUUCCCCGUCUAGUUAGAAAAUCUAGAAUAGGGUGAACAUUUUUAAAAUCAAAAAUAAAUAUUUUGAAAACAUGCAUAUUUUUAAAUGCAAUAAAAAUUUCAAAUAAAAUCCAAUAAAUUCCAAAUAAUGUUUUUAACAUUUUUCCUCCAGUAUUUCAAUAUUUUUUGGAGAAGUCAUAUUUUCUCCUCUCGUUUAUUUUUAAAUGAAAUAUUUUUCCGGAGAGAAAAAUAAUUAAAAUAAAAUCCUCGUCUGAAAAAUCAAAUAAGAAAAUUCGAGAAAAUCCCCAACUCUCUCCGAGGGUCCUUGAGUUGCUUAGGAUUUAGCGAGGAUUUGUCAAAAUGCAAUAAAUCAUGAUAUGCAAAUGAUGAUCUAUGUAUAACAUUCCAAAUUGAAAAUUUGGGAUGUUACAAACCUACCCCCCUUAAGAUGAAUCUCGCCCUCCAAAUUCAGGUUGGCUAGAAAACAGGUGGGAGUGGUUUUUCCGUAGAUCUUCCUCUCGCUCCCAGGUGGCCUCAUCUUCUGUGUGGUGACUCCACUGAACUUUGCAAAAUUUGAUAACCUUGCUGCGGGUAACUCGGCUGGCAUACUCGAGAAUCUUAACUGGCUUCUCCUCAUAAGUCAAAUCGCUUUCCAAAUGAAUCGCUUCCAGUGGCACAGUAUCUCUCAGUGGUAUCUCAGCCAUCUCUGCGUGGCACUUCUUCAACUGCGAAACGUGGAAUACAUCAUAUACUUCAGACAAUCCUUCGGGCAAUUCCAGCUUGUAGGCAACUUCUCCCAUACGUUCCAACACUCUGUAUGGUCCGAUAAAACGAGGCGCUAACUUUCCCUUAACUCCAAAGCGCUUCACUCUUCGAAGUGGUGAUACUCGAAGAUACACUCUGUCUCCGAUUUCGUGAACUGUUUCCUUGCGCUUAGAAUCAGCAUAACUCUUCUGCCUGGAUUGGGCUACCUUGAGCCUAUCGCGAAUCAACUUCACUUUCUGUUCAGACUCCUUAAUCAAGUCUGGUCCAAACAACUGACGGUCUCCAACUUCGUCCCAUAUCAACGGUGUUCUACACCUCCUUCCGUACAAAGCUUCAAAAGGGGCCAUCUUCAAACUGGUUUGAUAACUGUUGUUAUAAGAAAACUCCGCAUAUAGCAAAUUGUCGUCCCAACUUGAUCCAUAAUCUAGCGCACAUGCUCUCAACAUGUCCUCCAAAAUCUGGUUGACUCUCUCGGUCUGCCCAUCUGUCUGCGGAUGAAAUGCUGUACUAAAUUCCAGCCUGGUUCCCAAUGUUUCAUGUAACUGCUUCCAAAACUUCGAGGUAAAUUGGGUUCCUCUGUCUGAUACAAUGGUCCUCGGAACUCCAUGCAAACAUACUAUCCUGGUCAUGUAUAUCUUAGCCAACUUAGCACUGGUGUAAGUGGUCUUCACUGGAAUGAAAUGAGCCACUUUCGUCAAACGGCCGACUACAACCCAUAUCGAGUCAUAGCCUGAACGAGUCCUGGGUAAUCCUGUGAUAAAAUCCAUGCCUAUUUUAUCCCACUUCCAUUCGGGUAUCGGCAAUGGCUGCAGCAAUCCUGCUGGCUUCUGAUGCUCUGCCUUCACUCUCUGACAUACAUCACAAACUGCUACAUACUCCGCAAUAUCCUUCUUCAUUCCGGUCCACCAGAAAAUAUUCUUCAAAUCCAAAUACAUCUUGGUAUUCCCUGGGUGAAUCGAGUACGGUGAAUCAUGGGCUUCUUGCAAAAUCAACUUCCUGAUCUCCGGAUCAUUUGGCACAUAUACACGGUCCUCGAACCAUAAGGUAUCGUGCUCAUCCUCAUGAAAUCCCUUGGCUUUUCCUUUGCUCAUCUUCUCCUUUAUCUCUUCAAUCUCCUUGUCUGUCUUCUGAGCUUCUCUGAUCCUUUCCAUCAAGGUAGACUGAAUCUCCAAUGUCGCUAAAUAGCCUCUAGGGACUAUCUCCAAGCAUAGCUCACGUAUGUCCUCGGCUAACUCCUGAGGUAACUCUCCUGUCAUGAGGGUGUUGACAUGACUCUUGCGGCUCAACGCGUCUGCUACUACGUUAGCCUUUCCGGGGUGAUAAUGCAAUCUCAUAUCAUAGUCUUUAAUGAGCUCCAACCAUCUCCUUUGUCUGAGGUUUAACUCCUUCUGCGUGAAAAUGUACUUCAAACUCUUGUGAUCCGUGUACACCUCACAAUGGUUUCCGAUGAGAAAAUGUCUCCAUGUCUUCAAUGCAUGCACCACGGCUGCUAAUUCCAAAUCAUGCGUAGCAUAAUUCUUCUCAUGGGGUUUAAGUUGUCGUGAAGCAUACGAAAUAACUCUUCCUUCCUGCAUAAGCACUGCUCCAAGUCCUCGACGAGAAGCGUCGCAAUAAACUUCAUAGUCCUUGCGUUGAUCUGGCAGUAUCAACACUGGUGAUGUAACCAAUCGUUUCUUCAACUCUUGGAAACUAGCUUCACAUUCCUCAGUCCAAUUGAAUUUGGUGUCCUUCUUCAAUAGCUCAGUCAUGGGCUUAGCAAUCCUUGAGAAAUUCUCGAUAAAUCUCCGGUAGUAUCCUGCGAGUCCAAGAAAACUCCGGAUUUCUCCAACUGUAGUGGGUGAUUCCCAACUGGUCACUGUGUCAACCUUGGCAGGGUCUACUGCUAUUCCUUCUCCAGAAAUAACAUGUCCAAGGAAUCCAACUUCCUUCAACCAAAACACACAUUUGCUGAACUUAGCAUAUAACUGAUGUUCCCUGAGCUUCUCAAGCACCAAUCGUAAAUGCUUCUCAUGCUCUUCUUCAUCCUUGGAAAAUAUUAAAAUAUCAUCAAUGAACACCACGACGAACUUAUCCAAAAACUCCAUAAACACUUUGUUCAUCAGGUUCAUGAAAUAGGCAGGUGCGUUAGUCAGUCCAAAUGACAUAACGGUAUACUCAUACAGUCCAUAUCUGGUGGUAAAUGCCGUCUUAGGUAUAUCCUGCUCUCGAAUCUUUAACUGAUGGUAUCCUGAUCGUAGAUCAAUCUUGGAGAAUACUUUAGCUCCUUGCAGGCGGUCAAACAAAUCAUUGAUCAUCGAUAGUGGGUACUUGUUUUUGAUGGUCACUUCAUUCAAUCCUCGGUAAUCAACGACCAUCCUUAGUGAUCCAUCUUUCUUCUCUACUAGAAGUACUCGUGAUCCCCAAGGUGACGAACUUGGGCGAAUAUAGCCUUUAUCCAGUAACUCUUUGAUUUGCUUCUUAAUUUCUUCCAAAUCCUUUGCGGGCAUCAUGUACGGUCUCUUAGAUAUUGGCCCUAUGCCUGGCAAAAGUUCAAUCAAGAACUCAAUGUCUCUAUCUGGUGGCAUGCCUGGCAACUCUUCUGGAAAUACAUCUGGAUAGUCCUUCACCACUGGUACUUCCUCCUGUACAACUCCUGAUAAGGAAUUCACUUGAGUCCUCUUCGGCAUAUGCCUGGAUACAUACUUGAUCCUCUUUCCUUCCGGGGUGGUAAGCAAAAUAGUCUUGCUGGCACAAUCGAUGUUUCCUCCAUACAACGAUAGCCAAUCCAUUCCCAAAAUCACAUCCAAACCUUGCGAUUCCAAAACAAUGAGGUCUGAGGGGAAAACAUGCCUACCAAUGGCCAACGGUAUCUUAAAACAUCCUUGGGUGGCCAUAUACUCUGCUCCUGGCGAGGUUACUAACAUGGGGCUUUUGAGAACUUGGGUGGACAUCUUAAACUUGUUUACGAAUCCCCUUGAUAUGUAUGAAUGCGAUGCACCAGUAUCGAAAAGAACAGUUGCAGUAAAUGACUUAACCAAAAACUUACCUAUUACUGCAUCAGGCUGAGCUUCAAUCUCCUCCACGCUCACUUCACAUGUCCUUUGUUGAACGGGUUCGGCUUCUUCCCAGAGCUUCCAUUGCCAUUUCCAUUUUGGGCUUCGGGACAAUCAGUUGCAUAAUGUCCCGUCUUCUGGCACUUGAAACAAGUAAUGUGACUUAGAUCUCUCUUGGUUGGGGUAGAUGGGUUGGUGCGGUUUUGUCCGUUUCCUCCUCCAUUCCCAUUACCAUUCUUGGAGCCAUUAUGGUUGUGCGAACUACCUCCUCCAUGGGUAUGCUGAAACUGUCCUCCCGGCUUCGGGGUAAAUCGUGGCUUCUGCUGGGCUCCAAAAUUAUACUUCCCUUGUCCAUACUUCCUCUUGCGGUUUUCAAUCUGCUGCUGCUUCCCUUCAAUCAUGAGAGCUCUAUCUACCAACUCCUGGUAGUUGUUAAAAGUUGCCACCAUCAACUGCAUACUCAGCUCAUCAUUCAAUCCUUCCAGAAACUUCUCCUGCUUGGCUGCAUCCGUAGCAACGUCAUCUGGUGCAUAACGUGCUAACUUACUGAAAUCUUCCACAUACUGGCCUACGGUGCGUCCUCCUUGGCGUAGGUUGCGAAACUCACACUUCUUCAUAGCCAUAGCUCCUGCUGAAACAUGAGCUGUACGGAAAGCUUGCUGAAACUGGUCCCAUGUGACAGUGUCAAUAGGGUGUGUGGUUGUAUAAUUCUCCCACCAUGAUGUUGCGGGUCCAUCAAGCUGAUGUGCGGCAAAACGCACUCUUUCCGCGUCUGUGCAUCCUGCAGUGGUCAACUCCCUUCCAACUUUGCGGAGCCAAUCAUCUGCUACAAUUGGCUCGGUGCUACUGGAAAACACCGGCGGGUUUAGCCUUAAGAAACGGGCUAAGUGGUCAACAGGUGGUGGUGGCGGUGGGUUGUUGUUGUUGCCUUGGUUCUGAACUAACACUUUCAUCAAGGCAUUCUGUUGCUGAAUCAACUGGGUGAUCUCUGGCGGGAAAACAAAUCCGGUGUCGCGUCUCGGAGGCAUCUGAUAGGUUUAGAAAAGAUGAGAAUUAAGAAUAGAAUGAGGUCUAGAGAGAAAACACUACCCAUAUGCUCAUGAGACAAAUUCAAUCAAUAUCACUCAAUCAAUCCAAACAAGGCAAAACAAUCGAUCUAACUAGCGUUACAAAGUGCUUGAGCUAUACUACUAAAUGGGGGAAAACUACUACUGAUAUGGUAGUCUACUAAAAAUUCUGAUCCGUUGAAGACUCCAUGAUGUCUGCUCCAUCUUCAUCAAUCCAUUCGCCUUCACUUGGUUCCGAGUCGGUGUCGUCGAUGAUGAUGUAGUUAUCCGGACAAGUGCAUUCGUCGACUUCUGCUUUUGGCACUGGAUUUCCCACGAAUGAUCCAAUCUUAUUCUCCAGGUCGUCAAUCUUCCCGACUAGUGUGUUGAUUUCCUCCAGAUAAUCUUCGCGUAUAGUCUUGAGUUCUUCUUGGAGCUCCUUGAUCUUCGUGAAUGCCUUCUUCAGUUCUUCCUUGUCCGUGCAUAUCUGAUUCUCCUGGCGUCGAAUAUGUUGGUUCUGCUCCUGGAUGAAAGCUGCAAUUGAUCCAUCCUUCUUGGUCUUGAUCAUCUCCCAUUGCGCGUCUCGACGUCCACAAAUUUGAUAAAUUGUAUCCUUAAGCUCCUGGUGAUAGACUUCUCCAAUGCGAACCAUGGCGAUAUGUGCGGCCAUGCUCUUCCCUAAGCUCCAAGUUGGUGCUUCGAAAACCAAUCUCAUGGGUUCCGUAAUUGGCGCAAACGUCCUUCCUGGAAUGAUAACUUGAAUCUUCCAGCUCUCCUCUUCAGGUAAUGUGGCGUUGUAGGUUCCGGUGACGCUUGGUAUUCCUAUGUUCAAGUACUUGGUGACUUCCUUCAAAUGUCGUCCAAACGGCGUGUCUUCAUCCGGUUGCAUGAACUUGCUCCUUGCAUUCGCCAUUCCUAAAAGAGUAGAAAGUGGAGAGGAGUCAGAAAUGAGAAGAGAGAAGUUUUCUAGGGCUUAGGCUUAGUGGUCGUGUCCUAUAGUCAGCGUGUGCUCUGAUACCAACUUCGUAGCGACCAGACCUCAAAUGGCCUGUGCUGCUGUGCACCAGUGUCAUCCCUGGAUCAGUAAUGCUGACACGCACAGUACAAAUGGAGGAUUUAUAACAGAGUAGCAAUCACACACUUAUUACAUCGAAUAUCUCCGAAGAGAUUAAGUAUGAGAAACAUGGCUUAAGGCCAUCUAAAAACGAUAACAGCGGAAGACUUGGAAGAUAAGUGAGUCCAUCAACUCUAGCGGCAUCACUGAGUAUAAGACCACGACCUAAGGCACCUUACUCGUCGUCUGAAAAGUCUGCAACAUGAAACGUUGCAGCCCGAAAACGGGUCAGCACAUAGAAUAUGCUGGCAAAGCAACACAUAGAGAGCAAUGAACAAUGAUAAGGCUAUACUAUAUGCAUAUAUGGCUGGUGGAAAGCUCUAUGGUUACAAUUUUUGCGAAAAGCCAAUUUUAUCCUACUACAAAGGAAUAAAUUUUAUUUAACUAUCAUGGUGGUUGAAACAUUGAGAAGGUACCUCCAACUCAAUCCCAAUUAAGUAACAUCAUUAACCCAACAAAUUAAUUAUAAGUAUCACGGUGAUGAGAUUCAAAUGAUAAUCCAGGUACUAGAUACUCAAGUUGUCCAUAACCGGGGACACGGCUAAUCAUGAUCAGUUUGUACACUCUGCAGAGGUUUGUGCACUUUUCCCCACAAGACUCGAUCGCCUCCGCUUGAUUCUCGCACUACAUGUUGUUUGAGAAACGGAUGACCGAGAUACAGUCUUUCAGAAACAGUCACUCUCUACUCUGGAUGGACCGGUACACCUACUUUCCCCUACAUCUGCUAGUCCACCUCUUCAAGAGAUCCUGUAACCUACUCAGCUAUGCUAGAGCCCAUAAUAGCUUGUGGCUGCACACGGAAGUUUCUAGCAUGAAAAAUCUUAUGAUCCCUUUGAGCCUGGGUGGCGGACCUAAUACAUACAGACAACACUGGGUUCUCCAGGUGUCUCAAUCCACCCAGAUGUGAGUUUUAGUUGCCACCUUAAGUUGAACCAUUAUUAAACACUCACAUCUGUCAUGAAUAUCUCUCAAACCCAAUCCACGUCUACGAGCAUAGCAUGGCAAUAAUAUAAGCAACGUAGAAGUAACUCCCAAGGGUUUGAUAAAGAACAGGUAAUAGGUACUACCUCAACUACUUCCCAAUACCCACAGUUUAAUUAGAUCCUAAUCAUGCAAUGUGUUUGAGGAAAUAGAUCUAAUGCAAUAAAACUGGGUAUGAACGGGGGUAUGAUCAAAGUGUUACUUGCCUUGCUGAUGAUCCGCAAAGCCUAGCGAGUCGAAGUAACAAGCGGCACUCUCCGGGUACUCUAUCGCAAACAAACAAGCAUACAAUCAGUACUCAUCUAAUGCAUAGGUAAAACUCGAAAGAAAGAUCCAACCAGAAAGUUCAACUUAAGAACUCCGGUUUGCAAAAAGAAUCAACUCGAAAGAAACAACGAAAGUCAAACGGCGAAAGAAAGAAACUUCGUUUGCUAAUCUGGAUCUAGGUCAAAUUUUACUGUAGCAAAAACUUGUUUGAGUAGGUUAAACGGAAAGAGAAUUUCGAGAUGAAACUCUAGGCGCUUGAAUCACCUGAUUCCGAUAAAUGAGCGAAAAGUUAAACAGGUUCGAAGUUUCGAUCAGAAAUCGAAUCUGAGAAAAUAACGAGAAAAUCCGACGAAAAAGAAAAUCGGACGAACGGUUAAAUAACGGACGUUCGUUAACAGAGAAAAACCGACGAACGCGUUCGUUAAAACGAACGGUUCGGUGAACGCUCGUAAAAUAAGAAAACCGAAAAAAAACCGAUCUAGGGUAUUUUUUAAACAAAAGGGUUUUUUUUCCAGAAAAACCGGUCAACUCGAACGGCAGUACCUCGGCGGGGCUCGCUCCGGCGGGCGGGGUCGGCGGCGGGGGGGUGCGGGGCUCGGGCGNNNNNNNNNNNNNNNNNNNNNNNNNNNNNNNNNNNNNNNNNNNNNNNNNNNNNNNNNNNNNNNNNNNNNNNNNNNNNNNNNNNNNNNNNNNNNNNNNNNNNNNNNNNNNNNNNNNNNNNNNNNNNNNNNNNNNNNNNNNNNNNNNNNNNNNNNNNNNNNNNNNNNNNNNNNNNNNNNNNNNNNNNNNNNNNNNNNNNNNNNNNNNNNNNNNNNNNNNNNNNNNNNNNNNNNNNNNNNNNNNNNNNNNNNNNNNNNNNNNNNNNNNNNNNNNNNNNNNNNNNNNNNNNNNNNNNNNNNNNNNNNNNNNNNNNNNNNNNNNNNNNNNNNNNNNNNNNNNNNNNNNNNNNNNNNNNNNNNNNNNNNNNNNNNNNNNNNNNNNNNNNNNNNNNNNNNNNNNNNNNNNNNNNNNNNNNNNNNNNNNNNNNNNNNNNNNNNNNNNNNNNNNNNNNNNNNNNNNNNNNNNNNNNNNNNNNNNNNNNNNNNNNNNNNNNNNNNNNNNNNNNNNNNNNNNNNNNNNNNNNNNNNNNNNNNNNNNNNNNNNNNNNNNNNNNNNNNNNNNNNNNNNNNNNNNNNNNNNNNNNNNNNNNNNNNNNNNNNNNNNNNNNNNNNNNNNNNNNNNNNNNNNNNNNNNNNNNNNNNNNNNNNNNNNNNNNNNNNNNNNGGGCGAGGGGCGAGGCGAACGGCGGGCGGCGGCGGGCGACUAGAUGCGGGGCGGCGGCGGCGGCUUCUCCGGCGAUGGUGGCGGCGAAAACGGAGGGGGGUGCUAUAUAUAUGUAGGGGGGCUAGAGGGCUUGGGGGAGGGGCAAAGCCCGAGGCGGCGGCGGCUUCGUGCUCCCGGCGGACUCCGGCGGCGUGGGGAAGAAGGAGAGCGCGGCGGGCCGGCUUGGCUUCGGCUGGGCCUCGGCCGAGUCGGGCAAGCGCGUAAUUUUUUUUUAAAUUGUUCCGCGGAAAAUAUUGCAUAGAAACAUAAAUAAAAAUCGGAAAAAUAUGAAAUAAAUUUUCCCCGUCUAGUUAGAAAAUCUAGAAUAGGGUGAACAUUUUUAAAAUGAAAAAUAAAUAUUUUGAAAACAUGCCUAUUUUUAAAUGCAAUAAAUAUUUCAAAUAAAAUCCAAUAAAUUCCAAAUAAUGUUUUUAACAUUUUUCCUCCAGUAUUUCAAUAUUUUUUGGAGAAGUCAUAUUUUCUCCUCUCGUUUAUUUUUAAAUGAAAUAUUUUUCCGGAGAGAAAAAUAAUUAAAAUAAAAUCCUCGUCUGAAAAAUCAAAUAAGAAAAUUCGAGAAAAUCCCCAACUCUCUCCGAGGGUCCUUGAGUUGCUUAGGAUUUAGCGAGGAUUUGUCAAAAUGCAAUAAAUCAUGAUAUGCAAAUGAUGAUCUAUGUAUAACAUUCCAAAUUGAAAAUUUGGGAUGUUACAGCUCAGGAGGUGUAUAAGUUCUAAUAUUGCUUUUACGAACCACAGUUGAAGCUUUAGCAUGAUCUUUUAUCCUAACAGGGAAGGGUGGUUUCUCAACAUAAGAAGUAGGAACAAUAGGAUCAUUAUAAGUGAUAAUCUUUUCUUAAACUUUAAUAGGUGCAGCUACUUUUACUUCUAUGGGAAGAUGAUAUUUAAACCACUUCUCCUUGGGGAGAUCAACAUAAGUAGCAAAAGAUUCACAGAAAGAAGCUACUAUCUCAGAGUCAAGUCCAUAUUUAGUGCUAAACUUACGGAAAACAUCGGUAUCCAUAAAAGAUUUAACACAAUCAAACUUAGGUGUCAUACCUGACUCCUUACCUUCGUCGAGAUCCCAAUCUUCAGAGUUGCAUUUAAUUCUUUCCAAUAAAUCCCAUUUGAAUUCAAUAGUCUUCAUCAUAAAAGAGCCAGCACAAGAAGUAUCGAGCAUGGUGCGAUUGUUAUCAGAAAGCCGAGCAUAAAGAUUUUGAAUAAUUAUUUCUCUUGAGAGCUCAUGAUUGGGGCAUGAAUAUAACAUUGAUUUAAGCCUCCCCCAAGCUUGAGCGAUGUUUUCUCCUUCACGAGGCCAAAAAUUAUAUAUAUAAUUGCGAUCACGAUGAACAAGAUGCAUAGGAUAAAAUUUCUGAUGAAAUUCCAAUUUCAAUCGUUUGUAGUUCCAUGAUCCCGUAUCAUCACAUAGCCUAUACCAUGUCAAUGCAUCUCCCUUCAAAGAUAAAGGGAAGACCUUCUUCUUAACAAAAUCACCGGGCACACCUGCAAGCUUAAAUAAUCCACAAACUUCAUCCACAUAUAUUAGGUGCUCAUCAGGAUGCUUUGUUCCAUCUCCUGCAAAAGGAUUAGCUAGCAGUUUUUCCAACAAACCCGAAGGAUUUUCAAAGUGGAUAUUUUCAUCUUCAGUAGGUUGAGGAGCAACUUUUUGCUCUACUGGUCGGGGUGAAGAUACCCCGAACAAGCCCCUCAGAGGAUUACUUUCCAUAGUAACAAGUGACUGUAAAUUUCAGCACACUAUAUAAUUUUUUCCUUACCUAAUUCCACCUACCAAAGGCGCUUCACUCCCCGGCUACGGCGCCAGAAAAGAGUCUUGAUGACCCACAAGUAUAGGGGAUCUAUCGUAGUGUUGGGGAUCGUAGCAGAAUUUUAAAAUUUUCCUACGCUCACCAAGAUCCAUCUAUGGAGUAUACUAGCAACGAGGGGAAAGGAGUGCAUCUACAUACCCUUGCAGACCGCGAGCGGAAGCGUUCCAAUGAACGAGGUUGCUGGAGUCGUACUCGCCGUGAUCCAAAUCACCGAUGACCGAGUGCCGAACGGACGGCACCUCCGCGUUCAACACACGUACGGAGCAGCGACGUCUCCUCCUUCUUGAUCCAGCAAGGGGGAAGGAGAGGUUGACGGAGAUCCAGCAGCACGACGGCGUGGUGGUGGAUGUAGUGGGGUCUCGGCAGGGCUUCGCCGAGCUUCUGCGAGAGGGAGAGGUGUAGUAGGGGAGGAGGGAGGCGCCCAAGGCUGUUAUGUUGCUGCCCUCCCUCCCCCCCCCUUUAUAUAGGCCCCCUGGGAGGGGGGGCGCCGGCCAAGACCCAUCUAGAUGGGGGAGCGGCGGCCAGGGGGAGACUUGCCCCCCAAGGCAAGUGGGCCCCCCCACCCUAGGGUUUCCAACCCUAGGUGCAAGGGGGAGGCCCAUGGGGGGCGCCCCAGCCCACUAAGGGCUGGUUCCCUUCCCACUUCAGCCCAUGGGGCCCUCCGGGAUAGGUGGCCCCACCCAGUGGACCCCCGGGACCCUUCCGGUGGUCCCGGUACAAUACCGGUGACCCCCGAAACUUUCCCGGUGGCCGAAACUUGACUUCCUAUAUAUAAUUCUUCACCUCCGGACCAUUCCGGAACUCCUCGUGACGUCCGGGAUCUCAUCCGGGACUCCGAACAACUUUCGGGUUUCCGCAUACUCAUAUCUCUACAACCCUAGCGUCACCGAACCUUAAGCGUGUAGACCCUACGGGUUCGGGAGACAUGCAGACAUGACUGAGACGCCUCUCCGGUCAAUAACCAACAGCGGGAUUUGGAUACCCAUGUUGGCUCCCACAUGUUCCACGAUGAUCUCAUCGGAUGAACCAUGAUGUCGAGGAUUCAAUCAAUCCCGUAUACAAUUCCCUUUGUCAAUCGGUAUGUUACUUGCCCGAGAUUCGAUCGUCGGUAUCCCAAUACCUUGUUCAAUCUCGUUACCGGCAAGUCUCUUUACUCGUACCGUAAUGCAUGAUCCCGUGACUAACGCCUUAGUCACAUUGAGCUCAUUAUGAUGAUGCAUUACCGAGUGGGCCCAGAGAUACCUCUCAGUCAUACGGAGUGACAAAUCCCAGUCUCGAUACGUGCCAACUCAACAGACACUUUCGGAGAUACCCGUAGUGUACCUUUAUAGUCACCCAGUUACGUUGUGACGUUUGGCACACCCAAAGUACUCCUACGGUAUCCGGGAGUUGCACGAUCUCAUGGUCUCAGGAAAGGAUACUUGACAUUGGAAAAGCUCUAGCAAACGAAACUACACGAUCUUUUAUGCUAUGCUUAGGAUUGGGUCUUGUCCAUCACAUCAUUCUCCUAAUGAUGUGAUCCCGUUAUCAAUGACAUCCAAUAUCCAUAGUCAGGAAACCAUGACUAUCUGUUGAUCAAGGAGCUAGUCAACUAGAGGCUUACUAGGGACACGUUGUGGUCUAUGUAUUCACACAUGUAUUACGAUUUCUGGAUAACACAAUUAUAGCAUGAACAAUAGACAAUUAUCAUGAACAAAGAAAUAUAAUAAUAACCUUUUAUUAUUGCCUCUAGGGCAUAUUUCCAACAGUCUCCCACUUGCACUAGAGUCAAUAAUCUAAUUACAUUGUGAUGAAUCGAACAACCAUUGCGUCCUGGUGUUGAUCAUGUUUUGCCCUAGGGAGAGGUUUAGUCAACGGAUCUGCUACAUUCAGGUCCGUAUGUACUUUACAAAUAUCUAUGUCUCCAUUUUGAACACUUUCACGAAUGGAGUUGAAGCGACGCUUGAUAUGCCUGGUCUUCCUGUGAAACCUGGGCUCCUUCGCAAGGGCAAUAGCUCCAGUGUUGUCACAGAAGAGAGUCAUCGGGCCCGACGCAUUGGGAAUCACCCCUAGGUCGGUAAUGAACUCCUUCAUCCAGACUGCUUCCUGUGCUGCCUCCGAGGCCGCCAUGUACUCCGCUUCACAUGUAGAUCCCGCCAUGACGCUUUGCUUGCAACUGCACCAGCUUACUGCUCCUCCAUUCAAAAUAUACACGUAUCCGGUUUGUGACUUCGAGUCAUCCAGAUCUGUGUCGAAGCUAGCGUCAACAUAACCCUUUACGACGAGCUCUUCGUCACCUCCAUAAACGAGAAACAUAUCCUUAGUCCUCUUCAGGUACUUUAGGAUAUUCUUGACCGCUGUCCAGUGUUCCAUGCCGGGAUUUCUUUGGUACCUUCCUACCAAACUCACGGCAAGGUUUACAUCAGGUCUGGUACACAACAUGGCAUACAUAAUAGACCCUAUGGCCGAGGCAUAGGGGAUGACACUCAUCUUUUCUAUAUCUUCUGCCGUGGUCGGGCAUUGAGCCGUGCUCAAUUGCACACCUUGCAAUACAGGCAAGAACCCCUUCUUGGACUGAUCCAUAUUGAACUUCUUCAAUAUCUUGUCAAGGUAUGUACUCUGUGAAAGACCAAUGAGGCGUCUCGAUCUAUCUCUAUAGAUCUUGAUGCCUAAUAUAUAAGCAGCUUCUCCAAGGUCCUUCAUUGAAAAACACUUAUUCAAAUAGGCCUUUAUACUUUCCAAGAAUUCUAUAUCAUUUCCCAUCAAUAAUAUGUCAUCCACAUAUAAUAAGAGAAAUGCUACAGAGCUCCCACUCACUUUCUUGUAAACACAGGCUUCUCCAUAAGUCUGUGUAAACCCAAACGCUUUGAUCAUCUCAUCAAAGCGAAUGUUCCAACUCCGAGAUGCUUGCACCAGCCCAUAGAUUGAGCUCUGGAGCUUGCAUACUUUGUUAGCAUUCUUAGGAUCGACAAAACCUUCCGGCUGCAUCAUAUACAACUCUUCCUUAAGGAAGCCGUUAAGGAAUGCCGUUUUGACGUCCAUCUGCCAUAUCUCAUAAUCAUAGUAUGCGGCAAUUGCUAACAUGAUUCGGACGGACUUCAGCUUCGCUACGGGUGAGAAAGUCUCAUCGUAGUCAACCCCUUGAACUUGUCGAUAACCCUUAGCGACAAGUCGAGCUUUGUAGAUGGUCACAUUACCAUCCGCAUCUGUCUUCUUCUUAAAGAUCCAUUUAUUUUCUAUGGCUCGCCGAUCAUCGGGCAAGUCAGCCAAAGUCCAUACUUCGUUUUCAUACAUGGAUCCUAUCUCGGAUUUCAUGGCUUCUAGCCAUUUGUCGGAAUCCGGGCCCGCCAUCGCUUCUUCAUAGUUCGAAGGUUCACCGUUGUCUAACAACAUGAUUUCCAGGACAGGGUUGCCGUACCACUCUGGUGCGGAACGUGUCCUUGUGGACCUACGAAGUUCAGUAGUAACUUGAUCCGAAGCUUCAUGAUCAUCAUCAUUAACUUCCUCCCCAGUCGGUGUAGGCACCACAGGAACAUCUUCCCGCGCUGCGCUACUUUCCGGUUCGGAAGGGGUGACUACCACCUCAUCAAGUUCCACUUUCCUCCCACUUAAUUCUUUCGAGAGAAACUCUUUCUCCAGAAAGGACCCGUUCUUGGCAACAAAUAUCUUGCCUUCGGAUCUUAGGUAGAAGGUAUACCCAAUGGUUUCCUUAGGGUAUCCUAUGAAGAUGCAUUUCUCCGACUUGGGUUCGAGCUUUUCAGGUUGAAGUUUCUUGACAUAAGCAUCGCAUCCCCAAACUUUUAGAAACGACAGCUUAGGUUUCUUCCCAAACCAUAAUUCAUAUGGUGUCGUCUCAACGGAUUUCGACGGAGCCCUAUUUAAAGUGAAUGCGGCAAUAUCUAAAGCAUAGCCCCAAAAUGAGAGCGGUAAAUCGGUAAGAGACAUCAUAGAUCGCACCAUAUCCAAUAGAGUGCGAUUACGACGUUCGGACACACCGUUUCGCUGAGGUGUUCCAGGCGGCGUGAGUUGUGAAACGAUUCCACAUUUCCUUAAGUGCGCACCAAAUUCGUGACUUAAAUAUUCUCCACCACGAUCUGAUCGUAAGAAUUUUAUUUUUCUGUCACGUUGAUUCUCAACCUCACUCUGAAAUUCCUUAAACUUUUCAAAGGUUUCAGACUUGUGUUUCAUUAGGUAGACAUACCCAUAUCUACUUAAAUCAUCAGUGAGAGUAAGAACAUAACGAUAUCCUCCGCGAGCCUCAACACUCAUUGGACCGCACACAUCGGUAUGUAUGAUUUCCAAUAAGUUGGUUGCUCGCUCCAUUGUUCCGGAGAACGGAGUCUUGGUCAUCUUACCCAUGAGGCAUGGUUCGCACGUGUCAAAUGAUUCGUAAUCAAGAGACUCCAAAAGUCCAUCUGCAUGGAGCUUCUUCAUGCGCUUGACACCAAUGUGACCAAGGCGGCAGUGCCACAAGUAUGUGGGACUAUCGUUAUCAACUUUACGUCUUUUGGUAUUCACACUAUGAAUAUGUGUAACAUCACGUUCGAGAUUCAUCAAGAAUAAACCAUUGACCAGCGGGGCAUGACCAUAAUACAUAUCUCUCAAAUAAAUAGAACAACCAUUAUUCUCGGAUUUAAAUGAGUAGCCAUCUCGAAUUAAACGAGAUCCAGAUACAAUGUUCAUGCUCAAAGCUGGCACUAAAUAACAAUUAUUGAGGUUUAAAACUAAUCCCGUAGGUAGAUGCAGAGGUAGCGUGCCGACGGCGAUCACAUCGACCUUGGAACCAUUCCCGACGCGCAUCGUCACCUCGUCCUUUGCCAGUCUUCGCUUAUUCCGCAGUUCCUGUUUUGAGUUACAAAUAUGAGCAACCGCACCGGUAUCAAAUACCCAGGAGCUACUACGAGUACUGGUAAGGUACACAUCAAUUACAUGUAUAUCACAUAUACCUUUGGAGUUGCCGGCCUUCUUGUCCGCUAAGUAUUUGGGGCAGUUCCGCUUCCAGUGACCACUUCCCUUGCAAUAAAAGCACUCAGUCUCAGGCUUGGGUCCAUUCUUUGACUUCUUCCCGGCAACUGGCUUAACGGGCGCGGCAACUCCCUUGCCGUCCUUCUUGAAGUUCUUCUUACCCUUGCCCUUCUUGAACUUAGUGGUUUUAUUCACCAUCAACACUUGAUGUUCUUUUCUGAUCUCCACCUCCGCUGAUUUCAGCAUUGAAUAUACCUCAAGAAUGGUCUUUUCCAUCCCUUGCAUAUUGAAGUUCAUCACAAAGCUCUUGUAGCUUGGUGGAAGCGACUGAAGGAUUCUGUCAAUGACCGCGUCAUCCGGGAGAUUAACUCCCAGCUGAGACAAGCGAUUGUGCAACCCAGACAUUCUGAGUAUGUGCUCACUAACAGAACUAUUCUCCUCCAUUUUACAGCUGAAGAACUUGUCGGAGACUUCAUAUCUCUCGACCCGGGCAUGAGCUUGGAAAACCAUUUUCAGCUCCUCGAACAUCUCAUAUGCUCCAUGUUUCUCAAAACGCUUUUGGAGACCCGGUUCUAAGCUGUAAAGCAUGCCACACUGAACGAGGGAGUAAUCAUCAGCACGCUGCUGCCAAGCGUUCAUAACGUCUUGGUUCUCUGGGAUUGGUGCUUCACCCAGCGGUGCUUCUAGGACAUAAUCUUUCUUGGCAGCUAUGAGGAUGAUCCUCAGGUUCCGGACCCAGUCCGUAUAGUUACUGCCAUCAUCUUUCAGCUUGGUUUUCUCUAGGAACGCGUUGAAGUUCAGGACAACGUGGGCCAUUUGAUCUACAAGACAUAGUGUAAAGAUUUUAGACUAAGUUCAUGAUAACUAAGUUCAUCUAAUCAAAUUACUCAAUGAACUCCCACUCAGAUAGACAUCCCUCUAGUCAUCUAAGUGAAACAUGAUCCGAGUUAACUAGGCCAUGUCCGAUCACCACGUGAGACGGACUAGUCAAGAUCGGUGAACAUCUCCAUGUUGAUUGUAUCUUCUAUACGACUCAUGCUCGACCUUUCGGUCCUCCGUGUUCCGAGGCCAUGUCUGUACAUGCUAGGCUCGUCAAGUCAACCUAAGUGUAUUGCGUGUGUUCCGAGGCCAUGUUUGUACAUGCUAGGCUCGUCAACACCCGUUGUAUGCGAACGUUAGAAUCUAUCACACCCGAUCAUCACAUGGUGCUUCGAAACAACGAACCUUCGCAACGGUGCAUAGUUAGGGGGAACACUUUCUUGAAAUUUUUAUAAGGGAUCAUCUUACUUACUACCGUCGUUCUAAGCAAAUAAGAUGCAAAACAUGAUAAACAUCACAUGCAAUCAAAUAGUGACAUGAUAUGGCCAAUAUCAUUAUGCUCCUUUGAUCUCCAUCUUCGGGGCACCAUGAUCAUCUUCAUCACCGGCAUGACACCAUGAUCUCCAUCAUCAUGAUCUCCAUCAUUGUGUCUUCAUGAAGUCGUCACGCCAACGAUUACUUCUACUUCUAUGGCUAACGCGUUUAGCAACAAAGUAAAGUAAUUUACAUGGCGUUAUUCAAUGACACGCAGGUCAUACAAAAUAAUAAAGACAACUCCUAUGGCUCCUGCCGGUUUUCAUACUCAUCGACAUGCAAGUCGUGAUUCCUAUUACAAGAAUAUGAUCAAUCUCAUACAUCACAUAUAUCAUUCAUCACAUCUUCUGGCCAUAUCACAUCACAUAGCACUUGCUGCAAAAACAAGUUAGACGGCCUCUAAUUGUUGUUGCAAGUUUUUACGUGGCUUGUAUAGGUUUCUAGCAAGAACGUUUCUUACCUACGUAAAACCACAACGUGAUUUGCCAUUUUCUAUUUACCCUUCAUAAGGACCCUUUUCAUCGAAUCCGUUCCGACUAAAGUAGGAGAGACAGACACCCGCUAGCCACCUUAUGCAACUAGUGCAUGUCAGUCGGUGGAACCUGUCUCACGUAAGCGUACGUGUAAGGUCGGUCCGGGCCGCUUCAUCCCACAAUACCGCCGAAACAAGAUAAGACUAGUAGCGGCAAGAAGAAUUGGCAACAUCAACGCCCACAACUGCUUUGUGUUCUACUCGUGCAUAGUAACUACGCAUAGGCCUGGCUCAUGAUGCCACUGUUGGGGAUUGUAGCAGAAUUUUAAAAUUUUCCUACGCUCACCAAGAUCCAUCUAUGGAGUAUACUACCAACGAGGGGAAAGGAGUGCAUUUACAUACCCUUGUAGAUCGCGAGCGGAAGCGUUCCAAUGAACGAGGUUGAUGGAGUCGUACUCACCGUGAUCCAAAUCACCGAUGACCGAGUGCCGAACGGACGGCACCUCCGCGUUCAACACACGUACGGAGCAGCGACGUCUCCUCCUUCUUGAUCCAGCAAGGGGGAAGGAGAGGUUGAUGGAGAUCCAGCAGCACGACGGCGUGGUGGUGGAUGUAGCGGGGUCUCGGCAGGGCUUCGCCGAGCUUCUGCGAGAGGGAGAGGUGUAGCAGGGGAGGAGGGAGGCGCCCAAGGCUGUUAUGUUGCUGCCCUCCCUCCCCCCCUUUAUAUAGGCCCCCUGGGAGGGGGGCGCCGGCCAAGACCCAUCUAGAUGGGGGGGCGGCGGCCAGGGGGGAGACUUGCCCCCCAAGGCAAGCGGGGCGCCCCCCCACCCUAGGGUUUCCAACCCUAGGCGCAAGGGGGAGGCCCAUGGGGGGCGCCCCAGCCCACUAAGGGCUGGUUCCCUUCCCACUUCAGCCCAUGGGGCCCUCCGAGAUAGGUGGCCCCACCCGGUGGACCCCCGGGACCCUUCUGGUGGUCCCGGUACAAUACCGGUGACCCCCGAAACUUUCCCGGUGGCCGAAACUUGACUUCCUAUAUAUAAUUCUUCACCUCCGGACCAUUCCGGAACUCCUCAUGACGUCCGGGAUCUCAUCCGGGACUCCGAACAACUUUCGGGUUUCCGCAUACUCAUAUCUCUACAACCCUAGCGUCACCGAACCUUAAAUGUGUAGACCCUACGGGUUCGGGAGACAUGCAGACAUGACCGAGACGCCUCUCCGGUCAAUAACCAACAGCGGGAUCUGGAUACCCAUGUUGGCUCCCACAUGUUCCACGAUGAUCUCAUCGGAUGAACCAUGAUGUCGAGGAUUCAAUCAAUCCCGUAUACAAUUCCCUUUGUCAAUCGGUAUGUUACUUGACCGAGAUUCGAUCGUCGGUAUCCCAAUACCUUGUUCAAUCUCAUUACCGGCAAGUCUCUUUACUCGUACCGUAAUGCAUGAUCCCGUGACUAACGCCUUAGUCACAUUGAGCUCAUUAUGAUGAUGCAUUACCGAGUGGGCCCAAAGAUACCUCUCCGUCAUACGGAGUGACAAAUCCUAGUCUCGAUCCGUGCCAACCCAACAGACACUUUCGGAGAUACCCGUAGUGUACCUUUAUAGUCACCCAGUUACGUUGUGACGUUUGGCACACCCAAAGUACUCCUACGGUAUCCGGGAGUUGCACGAUCUCAUGGUCUCAGGAAAGGAUACUUGACAUUGGAAAAGCUCUAGCAAACGAAACUACACGAUCUUUUAUGAUAUGCUUAGGAUUGGGUCUUGUCCAUCACAUCAUUCUCCUAAUGAUGUGAUCCCGUUAUCAAUGACAUCCAAUGUCCAUAGUCAGGAAACCAUGACUAUCUGUUGAUCAACGAGCUAGUCAACUAGAGGCUUACUAGGGACACGUUGUGGUCUAUGUAUUCACACAUGUAUUACGAUUUCCGGAUAACACAAUUAUAGCAUGAACAAUAGACAAUUAUCAUGAACAAAGAAAUAUAAUAAUAACCUUUUAUUAUUGCCUCUAGGGCAUAUUUCCAACACGUAGUCCUUUCGAUAAGUAAGAGUGUUGAACCCAACGAGGAGCAGAAGGAAAUGAUAAGCGGUUUUCGGCAAGGUAUUCUCUGCAAGCACUGAAAUAGUAGGUAACAGAUAGUUUUGUGAUAGGAUAAUUUGUAACGAGCAACAAGUAACAAAAGUAAAUAAAGUGCAGCAAGGUGGCCCAAUCCUUUUUGUAGCAAAGGACAAGCCUGGACAAACUCUUAUAUAGAGAACAACGCUCCCGAGGACACAUGGGAAUUAUCGUCAAGCUAGUUUUCAUCACGUUCAUAUGAUUCGCGUUCGGUACUUUGAUAAUUUGAUAUGUGGGUGGACCCGUGCUUGGGUGUUGUCCUUAAUUGGACAAGCAUCCCACUUAUGAUUAACCUCUAUUGCAAGCAUCCGCAACUACAACAAAAGUAUUAAGGUAAACCUAACCAUAGCAUGAAACAUAUGGAUCCAAAUCAGCCCCUUACGAAGCAACGCAUAAACUAGGGUUUAAGCUUCUGUCACUCUAGCAACCCAUCAUCUACUUAUUACUUCCCAAUGCCUUCCUCUAGGCCCAAAUAAUGGUGAAGUGUCAUGUAGUCGAUGUUCACAUAACACCACUAGAGGAUAGACAACAUACAUCUCAUCAAAAUAUCGAACGAAUACCAAAUUCACAUGACUACUAAUAGCAAGACUUCUCCCAUGUCCUCAGGAACAAACGUAACUACUCACAAAGCAUAUUCAUGUUCAUAAUCAGAGGAGUAUUAAUAUGCAUAUAGGAUCUGAACAUAUGAUCUUCCACCAAAUAAACCAACUAGCAUCAACUACAAGGAGUAAUCAACACUACUAGCAACCCACAGGUACCAAUCCCGGACUUGGAGACAAGAAUUGGAUACAAGAGAUGACCUAGGGUUCGAGAGGAGAUGGUGCUGGUGAAGAUGUUGAUGGAGAUUGCCCUCUCCUGAUGAGAGGAGCGUUGGUGAUGACGAUGGCGAUGAUUUCCCCCUCCCGGAGGGAAGUGUCCCCGGCAAAACAGCUCUGCCGGAGCCCUAGAUUGGUUCCGCCAAGGUUCCGCCUCGUGGCGGCGGAGUCUCGUCCCGAAAGCUUUCUUAUUAUUUUUCUUCGGAUGAAAGACUUCAUAUAGCAGAAGAUGGCCGUCGGAGGACCAACAGGGGGCCCACGAGGCAGGGGGCGCGCCCAGGGGGUAGGGCGCGCCCCCCACCCUCAUGGACAGGUGGUGGCCCCCUGAUGUAUUUCUUCUGCUCAGUAUUUUUUAUUAUUUCCAGAAAUAACUUUCGUGGAGUUUCAGGACUUUUGGAGUUGUGCAGAAUAGGUCUCUAAUACUUGCUCCUUUUCUAGCCCAGAAUUCCAGCUGCCGGCAUUCUCCCUCCUUAUGUAAACCUUGUAAAAUAAGAGAGAAUAGGCAUAAGUAUUGUGACAUAAUGUGCAAUAACAGCCCAUAAUGCGAUAAAUAUCGAUAUAAAAGCAUGAUGCAAAAUGGAUGUUUCAGGCACUCUUUGAAGUACUUUGUGUUGGUUUGAAUAGAUGAAUCUAAGAUUGUGUGAUGCAUAUCGUAUAAUCAUACCCACAGAUACUUGAGGUGACAUUGGAGUAUCUAGGUGACAUUAGGGUUUUGUUUGAUAUGUGUCUUAAGGUGUUAUUCUAGUACGAACUCUAUGAUAGAUCGAACGGAAAGAAUAGCUACGUGUUAUUUUACUACAGACUCUUAAAUAGAUUGAUCAGAAAGAGUAACUUUGAGGUGGUUUCGUACCCUACCAUAAUCUCUUUGUUUGUUCUCCGCUAUUAGUGGCUUUGGAGUGACUCUUUGUUGCAUGUUGAGGGAUAGUUAUAUGAUCCAAUUAUGUUAUUGUUGUUGAGAGAACUUGCACUAGUGAAAGUAUGAACCCUAGGCCUUGUUUCCUAGCAUUGCAAUACCGUUUACGUUCACUUUUAUCGCUUGCUACAUUGCUGUUUUUAUAUUUUCAGAUUACAAAUACCUAUAUCUACCAUCCAUAUUGCACUUGUAUCACCAUCUCUUCGCCGAACUAGUGCACCUAUACAAUUUACCAUUGUAUUGGGUGUGUUGGGACACAAGAGACUCUUUGUUAUUUGGUUGCAGGGUUGUUUGAGAGAGACCAUCUUCAUCCAACGCCUCCCACGGAUUGAUAAACCUUAGGUCAUCCACUUGAGGGAAAUUUGCUAUUGUCCUACAAACCUCUGCACUUGGAGGCCCAACAACGUCUACAAGAAGAAGGUUGUGUAGUAGACAUCACAGGUCGCAUUCGCCGGUCUCCAGUGACGACCGUGGCUGUCGUCGGUCGCGGACUCGGUGGUGGCCGUGGCUGCCACCGAUCGCCUCUCUCUGUUCCUCGUAUGAGAGAAAGAGAGGAGAUGGAACAGAUUAAGGGAAGAGGUAUGAGAUUUUGGGGGUUAGUAAUGGUAAUGGUGGGUAAUAUCUCUUAACUUCUCUUGGCCUUUUGGAUUCCACAAAAAUAGAAUCGACCCGGUGGUCGUUCCUCCGCGCUAGUGUAUUUUCUGCUGCGCUCCUUGCCGAUCCGCGGAUCGUAUUUUCUCGGAGCCCGGGCGUUCGGCUCUGCUCCCUCGACUCCCGUAUAGAAUCUGAGAGCAGGAGCUGUACCGAACACAGCCUAAAUAUGUAAUUAAUAAAUUGAACAUAUAAUCUUCAACCAAUCAACACUACUAGUAACCCACAGGUACCAAUCUAAGUUUGAGACAAAGAUCAGAUACGAGAGAUGAACUAGGGUUUGGAUAUGGGAUGGUGCUAGUGAAGAUGUUGAUGGAGAUGAGUCCUGCCACGAUGAGAGGAGUGUUGACAAUGAUGAUGGCUUCGAUUUCCCCCUUCCAAAGGGAAGUAUCCCUUGUGGAAUCACUCCGCCGGAGAGCAAAAGUGCUCUUGCCAAGGUUCUCCCUUGAGAUGGCGGCGCUUCGUCCCAAAAGUCUUCUCUUGAUUUUCUUUCUAUGGUAAAUGACUUCAUAUACCGGAACAUGGGCAUUAGUGGACCUCCGUGGGCCCCACAAGUGUAGGUGGCACACCCCUGAGCUUGUGGGCCCAUGGAGGGUCUUCUCCGGUAUAUUUUAUUUUCAGUAUUUUUUAUAUAUUCCAAAUAAAUCUCCGUAAGUUUUCAGGUCAUUUGGAGCUUCAGAGAAUAACUGUCUCUGUUGUAGCUCUUUCCAGGUCCAAAAUUCCAAUUGCCGGUAAUCUCCCUCUUGUGAUGUAAAUUGAAAUUUAAGAGAGAAAAGGCAUUAGAAUUGCAUCAAAAAGUGAUAUAUAACUCAAAAACAAUAAAAAUAACAGUACGAAAACAUGAUGCAAAAUGGAUGUACCAGCGAGCAAUUGAAUGGAGACAUGUAUUGCCAAGACAAAGAAGAUGGCGUACAUAUUGAGGAGGAGCCAUUGUUUAUUGAUGAGCUCACCCUAAAAGAAAACACACAAAAGAGGAGGCAAAGCAUUCGGGCGGGAUCAUACACCUAAGAUGAGAACAAGUUGAUUUGCAAAACUUGGAAGGAAAUAGGGCAAGAUCCCAAGAUCGGUGUCGAGCAAAAAGGAGACAUUUUUUGGGGGAGAGUUUAUGCCAGCUUCCAUGAACGUAGUAAGUUUUCGCUCUACAAUUUUGCAAGCACCUAUGGCAUCAACUCAAUCCAAAAGAGGUGGGGGUUUAUCCAACAAGUAUAACAAGUUUUGUUCCACGCUUCAGAGCGUUGAAGCCCGUCCCGUGAGUAGCCUAGGCGUGGGUGACAUGGUAUGAACUUCUUCUCUUUGUUGCUAUGCCAUGUUCAUGUUUGUUGCAUUUUUUGUCCUUCACUAUUACAUUCUUACCUACACUUUUAUUGUGUAGGCAUUCCAAGCUUUGGAAGCCUUCAAGGCCCAACAUGCAAACAAGCCAUUCACCCUCACCCAUUAUUGGAUGCUCAUCAAAGAUUGCCCCAAGUUUAAAGAUCAAUAUGCCGCCCUUAAGAAUAAUGGAGGGCCAAUGACUAUCGUUGAGCAUGGAGAACGAGUGAAGUAGCAGAGGCACAAGACCAACUCGAAGGUGGACGAGAAGCAUGAUGCAGCAUCGUUUGCCUUGCAAGAAACUUUGCAAGGCAUGAUUGCCCAAACGAAAGCAAGGGACGAGAGGAAGCACCAAGAAAAAGAGGAGCAAAUGAAGGCCUACAUCAAGAUCCAAACAAAGAAGCUCGACAUGGAGGAGGAUGCAGAGGCGGAAUUAGGCCUGGGGCAACUGGGGCUAUAGCCCCAGGCGUAGCCCAAUUAGUGCUAUGUACCCAAUAGGAUUUUUUGUCAGAUUUAAAGCCUUAUAGAAGCCCAGCCCCAGGCGUACUAACCAAGGCCCAGCCCCAGGCGUCAGCCCACAUUGCUUCUUAGGAGUUCUCACAACGGGCGGUGGUUGGUUGCUUCCGAAUCAAUCGCUAGAGUUUUUUUACGAACCAGCGUAAAAAACCUGUGGAGAGGAAGUCACGCUGCGUAGCCCCAGUCCACACGCGUAUGUAGGAAUCAUCUCACUUCGUCAGAACAACCCCUUUCCAGCCCUCUUUUUUCCUCUCCCGUUGUGCUCCGUCACCACAAUCGCUCCGGCAUGUAAAUUAGGCAAUCUCUUGUUUGUGUUAACACCUACUCGCUUUGAUUUAACACAAGUGUCGUGGUUUUAGUUUAAAACUAAAAUCACGACAUUUAUUUUGCAUUGGAGGUAGUAUUUUUUUCUAGUUCCGUUCUACCCCUGUCGUUUCAUUUUUACUACUUCACAUAUAAGAUUUGUCUCGAGUCAAACAUCAUAACAUUUGACUAAAUUUAUAUACAAAGUUAUCAACAUCUACAACACUAGAGAUAUACAAUAUGAAAGUUAAUUCAAUGAUGGAUCUAAAGAAAUCUAUCUUAUAUUAUGAAUGUUAAUAUUUUUCUAUAAUCUUAGUCAAACUUUACUACGAUUGACAUAAGACAAAUCUUAUAUGCGGAUUAAAAUGAAACGGAGGAAGUAUCAACCGGAAUCAAUGUUGGUGAUAUUAAAUUAAAUUAUGUACCAUUUUUAUUUAUUAAAAGGAUAAAAUAUAAAUUCAAGAUGUGUGAUAUUUGGAGUUUUUUGAGAUAUUUUUGUGAGUUGGUUGUAUUUGGCGUCAUUUACAGCUACUUAGUUUUAGCCCUAGGCUUUAAGAAAUCCUGGUUCCGCCUCUGGGAGGAUGUCAAAAGAAGGAAGAUCGAGAUUGAGGAGGCCGUCCAAACGAAGAAGCUCGAGAUUGAGGACACCAACACCAAGAACAACACAAAAGAGGUGGCAAUAGCUUUCAUGGCAAAGGAGGUGGAUAUCAUGAUGGUCGACUUGAGCGCGAUGUUCCCGAAGAGGAGAGUUGGUUCGAGAAGAAGCAAAAGGCGAUGCUCGAUCUAGAAGAUUGAGCUACAACCAAGAGCGACAUCAUUUUUUAUGCCAGCUUGUAUGCAUGCCAGCAUGAACUAGGGACCAGAGACAUGAACUAUGACCUUUUUUGUGCGCUGGCAAGUGUGUCGGCCGCUGGCUAGUGUGCCAGCGUGAACCCUGGGUGUUGUUUUGUAGGCUGGCAUGUGUGCCGGCCGCUGGCACUCUAGCCGGCAUGAACUAUGGAUGUUGACAUGGCUAUGGGCGUGAGCUAUUUUAGUUUUUACUUCAAUUUUCAUGGCAGCCUGGACGAAAUGCGUCCAUCAGUUGGGCGUACCGGCCACUUUCAGUCGGGGGCGGCCGGAUAACACCCCUUUGCCCGACCCAAACAGGCAGAAUCCAGACAAAACAUACGUCCGGUUGGGGUCGCGCGUAGUAGUUGGCCUUACAACAGUCGAUCGGCCGAAGCGUUUCGCUGGCUGCACGUGCCAUCGGUUCAAAGAACAUCAUGCGACCAAUGUCCCAAUUUCCCCUCAAGCUUAUCUCUUCCCCAGCCAAUCAUUUUUCUUUUCUUCUUCUUUGAUGAGCAUAACCCAUCCUCUAUCUCUCUCUUACGCGAGACCAAGCCAUGUAGCCACAGCCAUGGGCGUUGCUCUACACCCAUCUCAUGUUGCAGGUCGUUGACGGCGCUGCUACCGCUGCCUGCCGCUAGGAUGGAGGUGAGACGUGGAACCACACGUAUACGAGUGUUGCAACCGUGGACCAAAAAAGCUUCAGCCCACAAAUGAAAAAAACUUCAACCAUAGAUAGAGAAAGCUUCAAUUGGCACUACCCAACUAGGAAAGCUACAACCAUUUGUCAGAAAAGCUUCAAUUGUAGAUAGAGAAAGCUUCAACUGCGGCACCGCGCAACUGAAAAAAGUUGCAACCAUUGUCACAAAAACUUCAACAGUGGAUAAAAAAAGUUCCAACCGUCGUCGGAUUUUGCUACUACCGGCAAGAGAUUUUGCUACACCCACCAUGGCGGAGCUGCAACCCCCCAACGGGGACGAUGAAUGAUUUGCUGCAACCAUCGUCGUCUUUUGCUAUGACCGGCGAUGUUUUCUGCUACAUCCAUUCAACGGCGUUGACUGGUGUUGUCGUUCGCACAAUCCAGCGCAGCAAGCAUCGACAGCAAGGGGCUGCGACGACGCAUUGGGGGUGCUGCAACAUGGAGCAACAACAAUGGGAGUUGCAACCGAUCGAUGGUAACCGAUCGGCAACGGAGAGGCUGCAAGGCGUCGGGGUGCAAGCUGCAAGGCGGCCGUUGCCCUCCCCGGAGCCGCACACGGCAGAGGGAGUCGCGGACUCAGAGGCGGGGUAUCAGACGAUCUCGGGCAAUGGGAUCGGGCGGCUGCUAAGUGGCCGGCCAAAUUUUGGAGCAGCCGAAUCAGGCGGGACAUCUUGUCGUACAAACCUGUGCUUUUCCCCACGGGAAAAAAUGAAGGUACUUCCUAAACACUCUCGUAUAUUUGUUUACAUGGCAGUUUAACCACCACCUCAGCUGGAAGCUUAACCACAAGAUAAAAAGUAUUGCAUCAUGUGCGAUUCAUUCCAGUCAGGCAAGUAGCUGAUGCAUGUGGCUGCCAUUACGGACAAGGUUGUCAAAUACUACCUGAAGAUUUCCAACAAAGGAAAGGCGUCCCCCAUAGGAAACUGUAAAGAAGGAAAGGCAUGAAUUCUGUGGACACCCUGACAACAACCACAUUAAAAACUGCCGUGUAUAAACAUGUCAUCAGUGAAGAAAAAUUUGACGAAGUGAUCCACAGAAACUCGCCUCUCACCUUGAAAUAGCAUCUGUGGCCUGCAUACGGGUGAUGCGGAGAUAGGCUCAAGAAAAUUGAGACGAUACUUUGGGACCAUGGCAAUACAAUUUGAAGUGAAGCGGCUGGACUCUGUAGAAAGUGAUAUUUCCAGAUACCUCCAAGCAUCAGCCAUCUACUCCAGAUUUCUCACGCACAAUGUUUACCUUGCAGCAGGAGGUAACCUCGGCAACAAUCACGGUCAAAGAAGGGUGGUUAGCUGCUUGUUUGUUUCAAUUCAGAAGGGCAGCUUCCAGAUUGUUAGACGUGCUAUAAAUUUCUUGAUUAAUUAAUUCUACUUGCCCACUAGAUUGAGGAUGAUAAGGUGAUUUUACUCUAUGGUUAUGUCAUAUUUAGUUAGAACUUUACGGAAAGCACCGUGGAUGAAAUGUGAACCAUCAUCAGUUAUUAAAUAUCCAGGGACUCCAAACCUCAGAAAAAUAACCUAUUUAAGCAUUUUAACAGAAGUAUUAUGAUCAGCACUACUAGUUGGAAUAACUUCUACCCACUUAGCGAUAUAAUCAAUAGCAACUAAAAUAUGAGUAUAACCAUACGAGGAAGGAAAGUUCCUAUAUAAUCAAAGCCCCGGUUAUCAAAUGGUUCAAUAACAACUGAACAAUUCAUAGGCAUUUCCUAACGUCUACUAAUAUUUCCAACUCUUUGACAUUCAUUACAAGAAAGGACAAACUUGCGUGCAUCUUUGAAGAGAGUAGGCCAAUAAAAACCAGAUUGCAUUACCUUGUGUGCAGCUUUGUCUCCAGCAUGGUGUCGUCCAUAUGCAUCGGUGUGGCACUUCCUCAAGAUUUAUUCCCACUCACGCUCAGGUACACAACAUCUAAUAACACGAUAUACUCCUUUAUAUAAAUGUUGGUCAUCCCAAAAGUAAUGUCUUAAGUCAAAGAACUUCUUCUUUUGUUGGUAUGUGUAAUUAGGUAGUAUAUAUUUGGCAACAAUGGAAUUAACAUAAUAUGCAUUCCAAGGGUUAUCACGAGAAGAAGAAGCAUUUGUAACAGCUAAUUUUCGUCGGGAGAACUAUCAUCAAUAGGCAAUGGGUCAUCGGGAGAACUAUCAUCAAUAGGUAGUGGGAUAUAAAGGGAGCUAAUUUUGGAAUCAACAAUAUAAGGUCUGAACUUAGCAUAAGCGAACACAACUGCUAAAUUUUAUUUUUCAGUAGUAGCAUAAUUUUUCUAAGCAGUGCCUAAGGUCUUACUAGCAUAAUGAAAACAUUUAAUUUCUUAUCAACUCUUUGGCCAAGAACAACACCAACAACAUAAUCGCUAGCAUCACACAUAAUUUUAAAGGGUAAAUUCCAAUCGGGUGGUUGAACAAUAGGAGCCGUUAUUAAAGCUUUCUUAAGUGUUUCAAAGGCUUCUGCACAAUCAUCAUAAAAACAAAUGGAAUAUAUUUUUGUAGAAGAUUAGUAAGAGGUCAAGAAAUUUUAGAGAAGUCCUUAAUAAACCUUCUAUAGAAACCUGCAUGACCGAGCAAACUUAUUAUACCUUUGAUAUUUUAGGACACAACAUGUUCUCAAUAGCAUCAAUUUUAGGUUUAUCUACUUCAAUGCCUCUUUCAGAAAUUUUAUGACCAAGGACUAUACCCUCAUUCACAAUAAAGUAACACUUCUCCCAGUUCAAGACGAGACUAGUCUCUUCACACCUCUACAAAACUCUACCAAGAUUGCUAAAACAGUCAUCGAAAGAAGUUUCGUAUACAGAAAAAUCAUCCAUGAAGACCUCAACAAUUUUCUCACAGAAAUAAGAGAAUAUAGCCAUCAUACAUCUUUGAAAUGUAGCAGGUACAUUACAUAAACCAGAAGGCAUGUGUCUAUAAGCAUGAGUUCCAAAAGGACAUGUAAAAUUAGUUUUCUCUUGAUCUUCUAGUGACACAUGUAUUUGAGAAAAUCCAGAAUAUCCUUAAACAGAAGUGUGUAUGCUUAGAUAAUCUUUCUAACAUUUUAUCAAUAAAAUGCAAACAAUAAUGAUCUUUUCUAGUAGCUUUAUUGAAUUUUCUAAAACCAGUUACCAUCCUAUAACCUGUAACAACUCUUUGUGAGAUAAGUUCAUUUUACCAUUAGGAACAACAGUAAUGCCACCUUUCUUAGGGACACAAUGAACGGGACUUACCCAUUUGCUAUCAGCUAUAGGAUAAAUUAUACCGACCUCUAGAAGCUUUAAUAUUUCCCUUCUUACCACAUCCUUCAUCUUAGGAUUUAAGCGAUGUUGAUGAUCAACAAAUGGUUUAGCAUCGGCCUUCAUAUUAAUUUUAUGUUGACACAGAUUAGUACUGAUGCCUUUAAGGUCGUCAAGAGUAUAUCAAAUUGGUUCAUGGUGUUUCUUCAGAGUUUUCAAUAAUAUCUUUCCUUCAUGUACUGAAAGGUUAGCAUUGAUAAUGACACGAUAUAUCUUCUUUUCAUCAAGGUAAGCAUAUUUGGAAGUAUCCGGGAGUUUCUUUAAUUCGAACACAAGAUCACCCUCAUGUGGAGGAGGAUCUCCCAAAAUUUUAACAGGCAAGUUAUGCUUAAGAAUAGGUUCUUUCCUAAAGAAAAUUUCAUCUAUUUCAUUUCUUUGAGUCAUAUGCAUAUCAUUUUCAUGAUCACACUCGUGCAGAGACGUGCUAUAUAAACGUUUUUUACCCCCUUUCCGCGACGGAGUUUUAAACCGUCGCCUAGUGAGUGUGUGCAAUAGGGGGGGUCCUUCCCACACGACCCAGAAAGUGUCAGUAGGUUCUGGGGAGAAUUUUUAUCUUGGGAAACAAGCAAACGGUGUAGCAGGUCGCAUUCGCCGGUCUCCAGUGGCUGCCGUCGGUCGCGGCCUCGGUGGUGGCCGUGGUUGCCACCGAUCGCCUCUCUCUGUUCCUCGUAUGAGAGAAAGAGAGGAGAUGGAACAGAUUAAGGGAAGAGGUAUGAGAUUUUGGGGGUUAGUAAUGGUACUGGUGGGUAAUAUCUCUUAACUUCUCUGGGCCUUCUGGAUUCCACAAAAAUAGAAUCGACCCGUUGGUCGCUCCUCCGCGCUGGUGUAUUUUCUGCUGCGCUCCUUGCCGAUCCGCGGAUCGUAUUUUCUCGGAGCCCGGGCGUUCGGCUCUGCUCCUUCGACUCCCAUACAGAAUCUGAGAGCAGGAGCCGUACCGAACACAACCUAAAUAUGUAAUUAAUAAAUUUAACAUACAAUAUUCAACCAAUCAACACUACUAGUAACCCACAGGUACCAAUCUAAGGUUUGAGACAAAGAUCAGAUACGAGAGAUGAACUAGGGUUUGGAUAUGGGAGGGUGCUGGUGAAGAUGUUGAUGGAGAUGAGUCCUGCCACGAUGAGAGGAGUGUUGACGAUGAUGAUGGCUUCGAUUUCCCCCUUCCAGAGGGAACUAUCCCGUGUGGAAUCGCUCCGCCGGAGAGCAAAAGUGCUCUUGCCAAGGUUCCGCCUUGAGAUGGCGGCGCUUCAUCCCAAAAGUCUUCUCUUGAUUUUCUUUCUAUGGUAAAUGACUUCAUAUAGUGGAACAUGGGCAUUAGUGGACCUCCGUGGGCCCCACAAGUGUAGGUGGCACACCCCUGAGCUUGUGGGCCCAUGGAGGGUCUUCUCAGGUAUAUUUUAUUUUCAGUAUUUUUUAUAUAUUCGAAAUAAAUCUCCGUAAGUUUUCAGGUCUUUUGGAGCUUCAGAGAAUAACUAUCUCUGUUGUAGCUCUUUCCAGGUCCAAAAUUCCAAUUGCCGCUAAUCUCCCUCUUGUGAUGUAACUUGAAAUUUAAGAGAGAAAAGGCAUUAGAAUUGCGUCAAAAAGUGAAAUAUAACUCUAAAACAAUAAAAAUAAUAGUAGGAAAACAUGAUGCAAAAUGGAUGUAUCAGCGAGCCAUUGAAUGGAGACAUGUAUUGCCAAGACAAAGAAGAUGGCGUACAUAUUGAGGAGGAGCCAUUGUUUAUCGAUGAGCUUACCCUAAAAGAAAACACACAAAAGAGGAGGCAAAGCAUUCGGGCGGGAUCAUACACCUAAGAUGAGGACAAGUUGAUUUGCAAAAGUUGGAAGGAAAUAGGGCAAGAUCCCAAGAUCGGUGUCGAGCAAAAAGGAGACAUUUUUUGGGGGAGAGUUUAUGCCAGCUUCCAUGAACGUAGUAAGUUUUCGCUCUAUAAUUUUGCAAGCACCUAUGGCAUCAACUCAAUCCAAAAGAAGUGGGGGUUUAUCCAACAAGUAUAACAAGUUUUGUUCUGCGCUUCAGAGCAUUGAAGCCCGUCCCGUGAGUAGCCUAGGCGUGGGUGACAUGGUAUGAACUUCUUCACUUUGUUCAUAUGCCAUGUUCAUGUUUGUUGCAUUUUUUGUCCUUCACUAUUACAUUCUUACCUACACUUUUAUUGUGUAGGCAUUCCAAGCUUUGGAAGCCUUCAAGGUCCAACAUGCGAACAAGCCAUUCACCCUCACCCAUUGUUGGAUGCUCAUCAAAGAUUGCCCCAAGUUUAAAGGUCAAUAUGCCGCCGUUAAGAAUAAUGGAGGGCCAAUGACUGUCGUUGAGCAUGGAGAAGGAGUGAAGUAGCAGAGGCAUAAGACCAACUCGAAGGUGGACGAGAAGCGUGAUGCAGCAUCGUUUGCCUUGCAAGAAACUUUGCAAGGCAUGAUUGCCCAAAAGAAAGCAAGGGACGAGAGGAAGCACCAAGAAAAAGAGGAGCAAAUGAAGGCCUACAUCAAGAUCCAAACAAAGAAGCUCGACAUGGAGGAGGAUGCAGAGGCGGAAUUAGGCCUGGGGCAACUGGGGCUAUAGCCCCAAGCGUAGCCAAAUUAGUGCUAUGUACCCAAUAGGAUUUUUUGUCAGAUUUAAAGCCUUAUAGAAGCCCAGCCCCAGGCGUCAGCCUGCAUUGCUUCUUAGGAGUUCUCACAACGGACGGUGGUUGGUUGCUUCCGAAUCAAUCGCUAGAGUUUUUUUACGGACCUGCGUAAAAAACCUGUGGAGAGGAAGUCACGCUGCACCGCCCCAGUCCACACGCGUAUGUAGAAAUCAUCUCACUUUGUCAGAACAACCCCUUUCCAGCCCUCUUUUUUCCUCUCCUGUUGUGCUCCCUCACCACAAUCGCCCGGGCGUGUAAAUUAGGCAAUCUCUUGUUUGUGUUAUCACCUACUCGCGUUGAAAACUAAAACCACGACAUUUAUUUUGCAUUGGAGGUAGUAUUUUUUUUCUAGUUCCGUUCUACCCCUGUCGUUUCAUUUUUACUACUUCACAUAUAAGAUUUGUCUCAAGUCAAACAUCAUAACGUUUGACUAAAUUUAUAUACAAAGUUAUCAACAUCUACAACACUAGAGAGAUACAAUAUGAAAGUUAAUUCAAUGAUGAAUCUAAUGAAAUCUAUCUUAUAUUAUGAAUGUUACUAUUUUUUCUAUAAUCUUAGUCAAACUUUACUACGAUUGACAUAAGACAAAUCUUAUAUGCGGACUAAAAUGAAACGGAGGAAGUAUCAACCGGAAUCAAUGUUGGUGAUAUUAAAUUAAAUUAUGUACCAUUUUUAUUUAUUAAAAUGAUAAAAUAUAAAUUCAAGAUGUGUGAUAUUUGGAGUUUUUUGAGAUAUUUUUGCGAGGUGGUUGUAUUUGGCAUCAUUUACAGCUACUUAGUUUUAGCCCUAGGCUUUAAGAAACUGGUUCCGCCUCUGGGAGGAUGUCAAAAGAAGGAAGAUCGAGAUUGAGGAGGCCGUCCAGACGAAGAAGCUCGAGAUUGAGGACACCAACACCAAGAACAACACAAAAGAGGUGGCAAUAGCUUUCAUGGCGAAGGAGGUGGAGAUCAUGAUGGUCGACUUGAGCGCGAUGUUCCCGAAGAGGAGAGUUGAUUCGAAAAGAAGCAAAAGGCGAUGCUCGAUCUAGAAGAUUGAGCUACAACCAAGAGCGACAUCAUUUUGUAUGCCAGCUUGUAUGCAUGCCAGCAUGAACUAGGGGCCAGAGACAUGAACUAUGACCUUUUUUGUGCGCUGGCAAGUGUGUCGGCCGCUGGCUAGUGUGCCAGCGUGAACCCUGGGUGUUGUUUUGUAGACUGGCAUGUGUGCCGGCCGCUGGCACUCUAGCCGGCAUGAACUAUGGAUGUUGACAUGGCUAUGGGCGUGAGCUAUUUAGGUUUUACUUCAAUUUUCAUGGCAGCCUGGACGAAAUGCGUCCAUCAGUUGGGCGUAUCGGCCAAUUUCGGUCGGGGGCGGCCGGACAACACCCCUUUGCCCGACCCAAACAGGCAGAAUCCGGACAAAACAUACGUCCGGUUGGGGUUGCGCGUAGGAGUUGGCCUUACAACAGUCGAUCGGCCGAAGCGUUUCGCUGGCUGCACGUGCCAUCGGUUCAAAGAAGAUCAUGCGACUAAUGUCCCAAUUUCCCCUCAAGCUUAUCUUUUCCCCAGCCAAUCAUUUUUAUUUUCUUCUUCUUUGAUGAGCAUAACCCAUCCUCUAUCUCUCUCUUUCGCGAGAGCAAACCAUGUAGCCACGGCCAUGGGCAUUGCUCUACACCCAUCUCAUGUUGCAGGUCGUUGACGGCGCUGCUACCGCUGCCUGCCGCUAGGACGGAGGUGAGACGCGGAACCACACGUAUACAAGUGUUGCAACCGUGGACCAAAAAAGCUUCAACCCACAGAUGAAAAAAACUUCAACGAUAGAUAGAGAAAGCUUCAAUUGGCACUACCCAACUAGGAAAGCUACAACCAUUUGUCAGAAAAGCUUCAAUUGUAGAUAGAGAAAGCUUCAAUUGGCACUACCCAACUAGGAAAGCUACAACCAUUUGUCAGAAAAGCUUCAAUUGUAGAUAGAGAAAGCUUCAACUGCGGCACCGCGCAACUGAAAAAAGUUGCAACCAUUGUCACAAAAACUUCAACAGUAGAUAAAAAAAGUUCCAACCGUCGUCGGAUUUUGCUAUUACCGGCAAGAGAUUUUGCUACACCCACCAUGGCGGAGCUGCAACCCCCCAACGGCGACGAUGAAUGAUUUGCUGCAACCGUCGUCGUCUUUUGCUAUGACCGGCGAUGUUUUCUGCUACAUCCAUUCAACGGCGUUGACUGGUGUUGUCGUUCGCACAAUCCAGUGCAGCAAGCAUCGGCGGCAAGGGGCUACGACGGCUCAUUGGGGGUGCUGCAACAUGGAGCAACAACAAUGGAAGUUGCAACCGAUCGAUGGUAACCGAUCGGCAACGGAGAGGCUGCAAGGCGUCGGGGUGCAAGCUGCGAGGCGGCCGUUGCCCUCGCCGGAGCCGCACACGGAAGACGGAGUCGCGGACUCAGAGGCGGGGUAUCAGACGGUCUCGGGCAAUGGGAUCGGGCGGCUGCUAAGUGGCCGGCCGAAUUUUGGACCAGCCAAAUCCGGUGGGACAUCUUGUCGUACAAACCUGUGCUUUUCCCCACUGGAAAAAAGAAAGGUACUUCCUAAACACUCUCAUAUAUUUGUUUACAUGGCAGUUUAACCACCGCCUCAGCUGGAAGCUUAACCACAAGAUAAAAAGUAUUGCAUCGUGUGCGAUUCAUUCCAGUCAGGAAGGUAGCUGAUGCAUGUGGCUGCCAUUACAGACAAGGUUGUCAAAUACUACCUGAAGUUCCCAGCAAAGGAAAGGCGUCCCCCAUAGGCAACCGGAUGGUACACAACUUGGUUUUGAAAGAUAUGGCACAAAAAGUUGCACCGUCUAAAUUCUCCCUGACCAAGUUUGCGUACUCGUCAGGGUUGAGUUGAGGGGGCAGCCCGCUUAUGCUUAUUGGGUAUUUUGGUUUGACACUUCUUCACUUUUUUUACAGUAUGGGAAUUUGGCCUAAUAGUCCCUCCAAUUUGAAGUGAUCAAGCCACCACUUAAACAAUGAAAGGCAUGAAUUCUGUGGACACCCUGACAACAACCACAUAAAAACUGCCGUGUAUAAACAUGUCAUCAGUGAAGAAAAAUUUGACGAAGUGAUCCACAGAAACUCGCCUCUCACCUAGAAAUAGCAUCUGCGGCCUGCAUACGGGUGAUGCGGAGAUAGGCUCAAGAAAAUUGAGACGAUACUUUGGGACCAUGGCAAUCCAAUUUGAAGUGAAGCAGCUGGACUCUGUAGAAAGUGAUAUUUCCGGAUACCUCCAAGCAUCAACCAUCUACUCCAGAUUUCUCACGCACAAUGUUUACCUUGCAGCAGGAGGUAACCUCGGCAACAAUCACGGUCAAAGAAGGGUGGUUAGCUGCUUGUUUGUUUCAAUUCAGAAGGGCAGCUUCCAGAUUGUUGGACGUGCUAUAAAUUUAGCAAUGACACCAUAUACCUUCCUCGAGUUAGCUAACUAGUACUAGGAUGGCAAUGGCAUCAUCUCGCACCUACACAGUGACUCCUCUCCUGCUGCUCCUGUUCCUCCUAGUCCUAGCCUUAGCCUGUUCAUGCAGGGCAUCAUCCGGCCAUGCGGUCUGCCCUCCAGCCAAGGCGUCAGCGGCGGCAGUGCAGGCCUCAUUGCCAGCCACCGGCUCCGCACGUUCCGGUCCCGGUGUUCCCGUACGACGUCGACCCGAUGCAGUUCGCGCUGAACCUCGAGUACACCGAGGCCGACUUCUUCCUCCACGCGGCGUUCGGCGUUGAUUAUUAUUAUUACGUUGAUGAAAAUCCACUUAGAUGGAAGCAAGUUGGUACUUUAAAUCCAUAUGACGCCCUUCAUUUUGGUUGCAGGGCCAUCCAGAACACGGUGGGUGGGUUCCCUAGGCCAAAGAUCGACCUGAGCGCCAACAACUUUGCCCUCAACUUCCAACCCCAUCAUCGACGGCUACCAGACUAAACAUGUAAUCAAAUUCAAAUCGACCAUCCAACAUCGUAUCCAUGCACAUCGGCACCAUUCAUAGUUGGUAACAAGGACGCCAUUGUAUUUGUUGCAACUACUUGCAGGGUUGCUAGGCGUGGAGGCGGGGCAGGACGCCGUCUUCCGCGCGCUGCUCUUCGAGCGUAAGCACGAGACGGUGCCACCCUACAAGGGGAUCACCGUGGCAGAGUUCUCCGCCACGAGAAACCAGCUGGGGAAGUGCGGGGUCAAGGACAAGGGGCUCACUGUGCCGCCCGAGCUCGGCCCAGAGGGCAAGAUCUGCACCAACGUGCUCUCCGCCGACAGGGACUCCCUCCUACGCCCGGACACCGGCCGAGUUGCUCAGGAUCCUCUACCUCACCGGCAACGAGCAUAUCGCUGGUGGCUUCUACCCGGAAGGAGCAAACGGCAAGAUAGCACCAGAGUUUCUUAGCAAGCAGUUUACAGCAUCAAUCGUCAGCCAGAAUAACGGAAAUAGUGUGAUGGAAUAAGAUAGGCCUAAGUGCAGCGUCUCACGUCUUAGAAAUCCAAGGAUUUCAAUUGGCCAAAACGCAGUUGCUGUCCACGAAUUUGCUACAGUUGUUACUCUUGUACAUGCAUUUUGAAGUAAAGAAUAACAAGGGACAAACAACUCAAUACAGAUUAAGCAACGAGAUAAGGGCCAAAUCAUCAGUAUAACAAUAAGCAACGAGAUAAGGGACAUAUAUCAAGCAUUCAACACAGAUUAAACUCAAAACAUGUUCACAAUAAACCAGGCCAAGUGACAUCAAGUCUUAGCUUCCAUAGCAGCAACUGAAACCAACCACAGACAUCCAAGAGCUAGGUAGACAUGGGAAGGACACAAGUUCCAGGUAAAACUACUAGCAACAUCUAGAGCUGCUUGAUCUCAGCCUUCCUCUUCUGCCACAGCCUGUCCAGGGAGCCAUCAGCAUCACCCUGCCAAAACAUAACAAGCGAUAAGAGCCCAGUAAUGAAUGUGAUACAAGACAUGAAUGCACCCAACAAUUAUCAAAACAGCUCAAAUAAUUUUUAGUUAAUGUGUAAUCCAACAAAUUGAAUUCAAAGUACUCCCUCUGUAAACUAAUAUAAGAGCAUUUAGAUCACUACUUUAGUGAUCUAAACGCUCUUAUACAAGUUUACAGAGGAAGUAUCAAUAACCAAAGUGGAUAACAUGGUAAUACUGAGCAUCCAUUUGAUAACAUGAUGACACUGAGCAUCCAUUUGAAUCAGAUAACUAGAACACUCAGAACUAAAAGGUAGACAAGUCUUCAAACAAUUACUUGGGUGCAAGGACAAGAUGAAAAUAGAUGUUCAUGGUCAAUAUUAUCAGGUUUUAACAUAAGCAAGUACGCAGCACCAAUAGAAAAUAUCAAACACUUGUUCCAUUUCCUCAAAGAUAGGACUGAGUUUACUACUAUUUCAUCAACAGUAACACGAUCACUGAAAAUAGUAAUUUGAUGAGAGCAAACUUGUGACCACACACAUAGUUGAAUCAAUCAAUUACAACAAAGAUGAUUACCUGAGCACGGACGAACCCAGAGAGAG